rnacentral:lncRNA from 1 species
UCUUUUUCUUUCCUCUCAGGUGGGUAUCUUGUACCCCUAAUUCUACUGUCGGACACUUGUCCAUUUUUACCUCUCGUCUCACUUUUUCUUUCUUUCGAGGUUCCGGGCACUUGCCCCUUUUUAUUUCCUCGUUUUUUUUCUUUUUAGAGCACUCAUCUCUUGAGAUAAUAUAGCAAGUGGUAGUAGCAAGAUAACUUGAGCAUUUAUUUCACAAGGGAAAACAGAAAUAUUUUUGGCUAUUCUCUCCCGGAUUAGGAGUAGAAUAUUUUUGGGUGGUUCUGGAGAUGGACAUGGAUGGAUAUGUGGAUGGUACUUCCGGAGUAGAAGUAGCAGAUGUGAGUGAACGUGCAAGUGAAUCUUGAUUUAACCACAUGACAAGGUCCUAAGGGUCUACACAGCUUGACCACACUCAAUGCUCAUAAGCAGUAAAUAAUAAAUGUGUGGCUCAAAGUCUAGCAAGCAUGUAUAUAUGGCUGUGGUAGGAAUUUAAACUCUCAUCAUACAGGAACUCAUCAUGCAAUAUUUUAAAGAUUUUUCAAAGAUAAAAUUCUCUAGAAUUCUAGCAUCUCUAGGAACAGAUAAACAGCAGCUCAACCUUCCCAUAUCAUAUCCGUUAACAACAUAGACUUCAGAUCAAGUUUUCAUCCCACAAGUCUAGAUCUAGAGCAAGCUUUAAAUUAUAACAGUUAUGUCUAAACUUGAGAGAGAACUUCAAAUUUGCAAAUUAGGCAGAGCAACUAUUCAUCAUAUCCAUGCUAGAGUUUUAUUAUUAAGAUUCAGAUUAGCAUAGCCACUUUAUUUAUUUAUUAAACACACUAAGCAAAAGAUAUAUAUAAGCACAAAAUCUUUAUUUGGUUUUUCAUAGUUUAUGUAUUUUAAUAUUCUAAUAUAAUAUAAGUAUAAAGAUAGGUAGAAAUACUUAGCGAGAUAAAUGGGGGUGCUCUCCCCCAAGCUGAAUUUUGACGUAAUUUCUCUUGAUGUAGCUAGCAGGUGGCAGAGGUGUAUUUGAAAGUCAGCAGCAUUCUAACAGCGAUUAGAAUGUCCUCCGUCUGCUAGUCUUCUUGAUUCUUAAAUUCUGUGGAGCUCAAAUGGACAACAAAGCUUGUGGAACUAAUUAAGUGUUAGCAUAAAUAUCUAGCCUUCAUCAUGUUGAGCUUCCUCAAUAAAUAUUACUCCCUGUUUUUAUAUUUUUAUUUUAUAAAGCAGAAAAGAAAUAUUUAUUUUAUUUUUAUGCCACCACAGUGAAGGUACUUAUGGGUUUUAUGCCACUCGUAUACUCACAUGGGGCUUAGUAUUUUCUAACAUUUUUAUUUUCUUUUGAAGAUAGCAUGAUUAACUAAUAAUCUAUUGAAGGAAAGUAAAUAAUUAAAGGGAAAAGGGAAUGCAGAGAGGAUAAAUAUGGAUAACUACCGAUCUUACCUUUCGGCGAGGGUUCAAUGUUUUAAGUCUUCUUAACAAGACUUCUCACCGUGUUCAUUCUUCAGAUGCAUCAUUUGAUUCAGUGCGGACCUUGACGUUUGCACCUCUUCGUUUGCCCAGCAGUUCGAAGUGCGGCGUUGGCAGUAUCCUGCUCAGUGUGUUUGUGCUCGUAGAUCCAGGUCCUUCACUUGGUAGAGUCUGAGAGUUAUAAAACUCCUCCGUGUUUUGCUCAAAGUGUACCUGCUCAUAGAGACAAGGCAGAGAUCAGGUACAUGGGUCCUGUUGGUGGAAAACACCAACAGAACCUAAAGUGUAUUUGUUCUUCUCUUACCCUAAGCAUAGUGAGCAAGACAAAGUUGAUGGAUGAAAUGUUCAUGAGUGUAGCACUUAUAACAUUUGUCAGAUCAGAUCGCUCAACCUUAUGGAAAGAUAAUCUAUCUAUGUAUAUGUCUUUUUCUUUAUAUCUCUCAAUGAUUGAAUUUGUAAUAUUUUAGCUCAUAUGAUUAGGAGUGUGGGAUCAAGGAGGUAGUACUAAGAACAAGGAUUAAAGGACUAAAUAUGUUGAAUCAGUUGGGUUGGUUAAUCUAGAGUUGUAAAUCAUACAUGUUUGUCCCUUUUAUUUAUAUGAACGCCAGAACCAAGGAGAGGCUUAUAAAAGUGAUAGUCAAGUACCUUAAGAUGUUACCUUGCUUGAAGAGUGAUGGUACAGUAUCACCUUGUGGAAGCUUUCCUUCCUUAGCGGUUGUGCAUCGUGUUUGUGGCACCCUCCAUGGAUCGUCUCUCUAUGAUGAAUGAGCUAUGUCCUUCUUGUGCAAAUUGUUAAACUUCAUGUGUCACUCUCUUCGUCUCUGAUGUGAGUUUAUCUCAAGACUUCCCAAAUUGAUAUUGAAAGUUUUUCUAUAGGGGUUAGUCCGACAAAAAUAUACCAAUGUCUACACAAGCAGUUUUUAGUUCAAUAACUGAACUAGACUCCAUGUCUAAUCAGAUUAAGGAAGGCUGUUUAACCUAAGCACCAUGCUUAAUUUAAAAGCCAAUAGAAGUAUGUGCAGUACUUCCAAACUAACACUUACUAGUAAAUAGACAAAGGUAACAUGACAGCAUUUAUAUAGAUCUACUCAAGUGGAGAUGAAGUAGUGUGAUUAGUAUUUAACAAAUUGAGCAUGUCUUAAAGGUAGGGACAACCAACAUAGCAACAUGGCAAAGGAUGUUUUUAUGUAAAGUACUCCCCCAAGCUUGAAUUUUGCAGAAUUCAAGUUUGGAUGAAUUUAAUUCAGUGUUGCAUGAUGAUUGGUUAAGGACAUACCUUGUACUUGCUUGUCAUUCAUCGGAUCUUCUUGUUCCUAUCCUGGAAAGGUUAGUGACAAGAAUACCCGAAGGAAUAUUUUUACAAUUAUCCUUAUAUGCUCAAUACACAAGGUAAUGUUGCAAAUAAAAAACUCAUGUUACGAUCUGAUCAGUGCUUAUUUUAGGACACCAAGCUUGUCCUUGGGAAACCAUCAAUUUAUGUCAGCGAAGUGGUUUCCCUUCCAAUGCUGACCUAAAUCAAGAUCAACUCAACGAGAUCUGCAAUAUUUAUUAUAGACAUAUGCAUCGACAACCGCCCUUUUAAAGUUUUUAUAAAUAGAAAAGAAGAGGGGGUUGGAGAUCUCAAAUAUGGUGAUGUCAGAGAGACCAAUAGAUUGGGAAGAUGUUGCAUAUGAGCAUGGAGUAAACAAAGUGGCUAUGAAAUAAAUUCCAUGCUCAUUAAUGUUAUCUUCGUCUCCAAUCUGAAUGUUCAGAGUUUCUCUUGGAUUGGUCUCACUUAUGUCCUCUUCUAUAGUUGGAUGAAUCCCAUCUUCAAAGAGAGUCAAGAACUCACCAUUUGAAAUUGAACCAAAGUCAGAAUUCAUUAAGGCUUCUUCCUUAUCCAUCCAUUCCACACAUUCUAGCCAUUUAGAACUUGUGAUCAGGAAAGGGGAGGUGUUAGAAUUUUCAAUAUGGCUUAGCUCUCCUUCACAUGAUAUGUCAUCCUCGACUUCUUCAUAACAGGAACCAGGACAUUCUCUAAGAGAACCAUUAUUGCGAGGAUUUGAAUUAUCCCUGCUUGAAGGUCUCUUAUGGAACUAGAAGUCUAAACCAUCAGCAUCUGAAAGAUUUAAGGUCGGAAUUCCUUCCUCCCUUGGAGAAUUUUGGGGUAUUGAUGGUUUAGGAUCGAUAGCUAAAGUUUGGAAUUGAAGUGGUUGUGAUCUGGCUAUCGAAACUUCUUCUUCUUGUCUAGGAACUCGUUCUGUCUCUUUCUCAGGGAUAUAAAAGCUAGGAGACUUUCCACUUAAUAAAUCAAUCAAAUUCCAAGCUUCACUAGCAGGUAAUAAAUCAAUCAAACUCGUUCUGUCUCUUCCUCUAGAGGCUGUAUUCAAGGUUUGCUUAUUUUCCCCACUAAGGCCCUCAAAAAAGUGAAUUAGAAGAACUUCUUCUGGAAUAGAAUGCUUUGUGCCAGUGAGAGUAAGGUUAAUAAAACGGUCCCAUGAUUUCCUAAGAGAUUCUUCUUUCAGUUGUCUAAAAGAAAUAAUCUCACGCCGAAGUUCCGCCACUUUGGAGAUUGGAAAAUAUUUAGAAAGAAAACUACUAUAUAACUCCUUCCAAUCUCCAUGAACACUCCCUAUUUUGAGUUUGUACCAAUGUCUAGCUUUCCCCGUUAAAGAGAAUGGAAAGAGCUUCCAUUUAAGGGUCUCAUCGGACAUUCCUUCUAUGCGAAGGAGGUCACAGACUCGAUAAAACACUCUUAGGUGUGUGUAUGGGUUUUCCUCACCUUCUCCUGAGAAAGGUUGUUUUUGAACAAAUUCUAUGUAUUCGGGGUUUAUCUCAAAACUAGAUGCUAUGAUAGGCUUUGAAGAUUUUGGUGGUUUGAGAUGUGUGCCCGUAGGUCUAUGAAAAUCAUAGAUAGACAUGUUUGAAUUCAUGAUAGACCAGAGAUCAAGGAUUAGAUAAGAAGAAAGAUUAGCAGAGAUGAGGCAAAGGAUAAAAGGAAUAUAUAUAUAUAUAUAUAUAUAUAUAUAUAUAUAUAUAUAUAUAUAUAGAAAAGGAUUAAGCUAGUUCGUAGUCGAUUCAGCAACCGUUUCCCCGGCAACGGCGCCAAAAAUGCUUGUUGACACUUACUAACACCACUUGAAUACUAGGUUGUCAUCCCUAGCAUGGCACUAGAGUGUACUAUGGUAUUUAUACACACACAGAUAAUCCACAAGCGCACGGAUACCGUUGAAGCUUUUACCCGGUUAAAGGUUUUAUCGUAUCCACAGGGAAACGGGAGAACCACCUACGCUCUAACUUAACCAAGAUAGAUAAGUAAGUGUAAGUAGGAAAGAUGGUAGAAUUAAAUAAGAACAAUAUUAAAGGUAAGAUAACAAUGGGUGAUAAUAUGAGAAUAGAGAGUAGAGCAAUCUAGUAUAUGGGUGAUGAUAGCAGAAUAGAGAGAAUAACUAUGGUUUCUCUACUUCAAAGGGGUAUGUCUAUGUCUGGGACGAACCACGUGAUAAGAGUACACCACAAAGGAUGCUUAUCCUUAGGCCGAUAAACCCUACCCGUCCUGCUAACGAGAGGUGGACUACAGAGGACCAACGUAACUGUCACCUACGCGGCCUACCACACGAUCUGGCUAGACAGGAGAUAUCCACAAGUAAUCUAGAUCUAAGCACCUCGCUUACACCUAUACUACAACUCUCACCUAUAGCGUCCUAUAGAUUAGAAUACUCAAAAGAGUUGUGAACCAGAACAUACAUAAUUAGUAAUUGCAUAAUAAAUUAGAAGUAGAUUACCAGAGUCAUCCCAUGAGCAAGCUUGAUUAGAGCUUGAUCAUGACGAAGUACAACCGGAGGAAGAACCGACAGGCCGGCCUCUCCUCCAAUCCUCCCUCGCUCUCCAUCUUGCUACUAUCUAGAUCUACACUAGUUUAGAGAAGAGAGGAGAGCUCUCAUCUCUAAACCCUAGCUUUUGCUCUCUCUAUGAAUAAUGAAUAAUGAUCAAGGGGUGCCUCCUCCAGGGGCCAGGGGGUCUGGUUAUAUAGUCCCCUCAAGUGAACCUGGGCCGUCGGAUCAAACCGACAUUGAUUGAACAGUUAUUCUUGAUCCUUUAGGUCGGUGGAGAUCUCUCGAGAGAAAGAGUCGUGAUUGGGCUCCAAGUCAGGGCGGGCACCCAGGGCAGGAGGGCGGGCGCCCUGCCUCUGGCCCCGUUCGGCCUCCGCUUCCUUCCCGUGGCUUCUGGAUGCUUCUAGAUGUAAGAUAAUUGCGCGGCACAUUAAUAUCUCUAUGUAAUCCCGACGUGUGGGCCUUUAUUCCGUAUUUCCUGAUAACCCCUUGUAGAAAUAGACAAACACCAAAACUCAUGGAAUUCUGUUAGAUAAAACCCUAAGUCUAGAUGUUGAUUUCAUUUGGAUCCUUUUCUUUGUUUAUUUGAUAAUUAAAUUUGAUACUUAAGGACCGUCAACAAUGGUGGGCCUGCUAUCAAUAUCAUGUCAUAUGCAGUAUAUCGGAAGCUUGGCAAAGGAGAUCAGGAUUUGACCAAGACUGAUAUGAUGUUAAAGGAGUUUGAAGGAAAUGUGUCUCUAGUCAAGGGAGCCAUAUGUGUUGAGUUAACCGUCGGCAGCAAAACCAUGCCGACAACUUUCUUUGUCAUUAGUGGAAAGGGUGCUUAUAAUUUGCUGUUAGGGAGAGAUUGGAUUCAUGCCAAUUGUUGGAUCCCAUCUAUAAUGCACCAAUGCUUGGUUCAGUGGGUAGGUGACAAGAUUGAAAUUGUCCCAGGGGAUUCUUCAUUUGUCAUUGCAUCGGCAGAAGCAGAUACUUAUGAAAGGACCAGAUGCAUUUCAGGAGAGAUUUGGGAGAAGGAUUUUCUCAAAGUCGCCGAUUAUGAAAUUCCACCGAUCCAAGCAGUCGGUUCUCACGAGGAGUUUUAGUGGAUAGGUUCGCCGAUGAUGGAAAAUUAGGCCAGGGGUUUACAUCGGUCAAUGAUUUAGUAGAAGUAGAUAUAGGUAAUUGUAAGUGCAAUAAAGCCCAUUGUGGGUUUUGGUGUUGAUGACCACUGAAUUAGGGAACUAAUGAUCUUUAGUGAGAUGACAAGCAGGGAACUAAGAAUGGAGGAUGUUAAACAGUUUGAUGGGUCACCGAUCCAAUUUGAAAAGGCUUUUCAAAGAGAUCUCAUGGAAGUUUUAUCUUUGUUUCUAUUUAUUCCUUGAGUAUAGGAAAAGCCGUACUAUCAAGAGGGACUCCAGGUUUGUUGAUCAAAUGUCGAACGAAAUGCUCAAAUCUUCUGUUUCAUUCUCAACCCUCACUCCAAUCAGUCGUGCUCUCUCUGUGUUUUCCUGACUGGUUUGACUAGGACGGCAGUGCCGCCCUCCUUCUAGCUGUUGGAAUACAGGGGUAUAUAUACCCUUCCUACUUGACCACAAUGGUCAUCUGAGCCAUUCACUUCGUCUUCCUUCGUCCUAACCAUUACAGAACACCAGUGCUCACAUCUCUCUCUCUUCCAUUGUUGCAUCUCAAGCUCUCAAGCAAAUCCAUCAUUCCAACCAUCAUUUCUUGAGAGAAAGGGUUGCAAACUUUGAUUAGAGAGCAGAUCCAUUGUUUCCCAAAGUCUAAGAGCAUUUGGUUCACGUUUGGUCGGCAUCCCUAGAGUUUGUUACUCUUGGAGCUUGCUCCUAGCUGGCUAGGCAUCGCCCUAGAGCUUGCCAAACUUGUGUGGUAGCCAAGGGAAGUCUGUAACCUCGACUUGAAGCUAAGAAAUCACCCCUUUCUCAAGAGGUAACACUCUUGUUGAAGAACGACGGAAGGACAAGCCUUUGUGGCAAGUCGUUCCUAGUGUGGGCACCUCAACAACGUGGAGUAAGUGCAGCCUUGUGUGGCGACCACUGAACCACGGGGUAAAUCUUUGUCUGCUAUUUAUGUUCUUAUUUACUUGUGUUCUUGAGUUGUUCUAGGGUUUGAGCUCGAUCUACUAUGCAACAUAUCUUCUGCAGGUUUGUGUGUUGGUUCUAGUGCUUACUAACUUGCAGGGAGCUGGGAAAUUUAUCUGAUCUAAGUUUCCCAAAGUCUUUCUUGUUUAGUUCUUUAGCUUUCUAUUAAGAGGCCGGCAGUGCCGCCCUGUCGUGUGAAUCUGAAAGCAAGUGAAGUUUUUUAGUUGACAGGCCUAUUCACCCCCUCUAGGCCAUCCUAGACUGCCAGAGAUCCUACAGUAAUGGUGAUAGGCCAAGGCCUACUUUUAUUAGUGCUAAGUUUGAUUCUGAGUGUAAGCAAUAGUUAACCGAUUUAUUAAAGGAAUAUAAAGAUUGCUUUGCUUGGGAUUAUACCGAGAUGCCUGGUUUAGACCGAUCUAUUGCUGAACAUCGGUUGCCUAUCAAGUCUGGGUUUCAGCCGCAUCAGCAGCCAGCGCGCUGAUGCAAUCCUAAUAUUCUUCCUGAUAUUAAGGCCGAAAUAACUAAACUUAUUGAAGCUAAAUUUAUUCGGCAAUGUCGAUAUGCCGAAUGGAUUUCCAAUGUUGUUUCAGUGUAUAAGAAGAAUGGAAAACUUUGUGUCUUUAUUGAUUUUAGGAAUCUCAAUAAAGCCACGCCGAUGGAUGGUUAUCCGAUGCCAGUUGCCGAUCUAUUAGUUGAUGCUGCGGCCGGGCAUCGGAUUAUUAGCUUUAUGGAUGGUAAUGCAGGUUACAAUCAGAUAUUCAUGGCUGAAGAAGAUAUUCCCAAGAGUGCAUUUAGAUGUUCGGGUCAUGUUGGAUUGUUUGAAUGGAUAGUCAUGACCUUCGGCUUGAAAAAUGCUGGUGCUACUUAUGAGAGGGCUAUGAAUUUUAUUUUCCACGAGUUCAUCGACAAGAUAGUUGAGAUCUAUAUUGAUGACGUGGUGGUUAAGUCUGGGGAUUUUGCAAAGCAUCUUGCCGAUCUACGAAAAGUGCUGGAGUGCACAAGGAAGCAUGGUUUAAAAAUGAAUCCUAAUAAAUGUGCGUUUGGUGUAUCGGCAAGACAAUUUCUUAGUUUCAUGGUGCAUCAAAGAGGGAUUGAAAUUAGUAGGAGAUCUAUUGAUGCUAUCAACAAGAUAGUUGCUCCCACCAAUAAGGCUAAACUUCAAUCACUGAUCAGCAAGAUAAAUUUCAUCAGACGAUUUAUAUCUAAUUUGUCUGGUAAAAUUCGUUCUUUUAGUCCUUUACUUAAGUUGAAGGCCGAUGAGGAAUUUGUAUGGGGAGAAGAGCAACAGUUAGCCUUAGACGAGAUCAAGAAUUAUUUGUCAAAUCCUCCAGUUUUGGUUCCACCACAGCAAGGGAAACCCUUCAGGUUAUUUAUCUACCGAUGGCGCGGUCAUUGGUUCACCCCUCAUUCAAGAAUUUGAAGGGAAGGAACGUGUGAUUUAUUAUCUAAGUAGGAGAUUGGUGGAUGCUGAGACAAUGUAUUCGGCAAUUGAGAAAUUGUGUUUAUGUGUAUACUUCUCCUGUGUCAAAUUAAGACAUUACUUGCCAUCGGCCGAAUGCACUAUUAUAUACAAAGAAGAUGUGGUCCGGUACAUGCUAUCUAUGCCGAUUAUGAGCGGUAGAAUCUGCAAAUGGAUUGUGGCGUUGCCGGAAUUUGAUUUACGUUAUGAAUCGGUUAAGGCAGUUAAAUGGCAGAUUAUGGCUGAUUUUGUAACUCAACAUUGUGGUGUAGUGAAUGCCUUGGAAAUUGUUCCUUGGACACUCUUCUUUGAUGGAUCAACAUGUGACCGGGGGGCAAGAGUUGGCAUAGUACUAAUUUCUCCUCAAGGAAAGAAGUAUGAGUUUUCUUUGCCGAUUGUUGCCACGUCGACAAAUAAUCAAGCUGAGUACCAAGCUCUAAUCAAGGGGUUGGAAUUGUUGAAGGAGGUUCAUGCCGAUGCUGUUGAGAUCUUCGGCGAUUCUAUGCUUGUUAUAAAUCAAUUGGCUGGAAUUUAUGAAUGCCGAAGUGAAGUUUUGAUAACCUAUUAUGAAAAGAGCAUACAACUGUUGAGGAAAUUCAAGGAUUUCCGAUUGGAGUAUGCCUCAAUUGCAUAAUGAAGAGGCUAAUCGGUUGGCUCAACAAGCCUUGGGAUAAUAACCCAUCUCAAAUAUGUUAUCGACAGUCAGUGCCGAUGAUAGGAGAAAAGAAAUUAUUGACUAUUUAAAAGAUCCAGCUAAAAAGGUUGAAAGGCGUGUCAGGUUUCAAGCUACCAAGUAUGUACUCCUUGGAGAAGAGUUAUAUUAUCGAACAUUAGAUGGAAUUUUGCUUAAAUGUUUGAGUAAUGAUGAGGCUAGAAGCUUGAUUGGUAAGAUCCAUGAAGGAGUGUGUGGAGCACAUCAGUCGGCUUAUAAGAUGAAGUGGAUGAUUAGGAGAAACGGAUAUUAUUGGCUGACUAUACUUGAGGAUUGCUUUAAUUAUUUCAAAGGAUGUCAAGGAUGUCAGAAGUUUGGCAAUAUUCAAAGGGCACCCGCAUGGGCCAUGAAUCCUAUUAUUAAGCCUUGGUCGUUCCGGGGAUGGGCUAUUGAUCUAAUCGGCCAGAUUUAUCCGCCAUCAAGUAAAGGGCGUAAGUUCAUCUUAGUUGCUACUGACUAUUUUACUAAAUGGGUUGAAGCUAUUCCUUUGAAGAAAGUGACAUCGGCUAACACGAUUGAUUUUGUAAAGGAGCACAUUGUUUACUGAUUUGGUAUUCCUCAAACAAUAACUACCGAUCAGGGUACCAUGUUCACAUCGGGAGAGUUUGAUGAAUUUGCAAUCGGUAUGGGGAUUAAAGUGUUGAAUUCUUAUCCUUAUUAUGCUCAAGCCAAUGGACAUGCCGAAGCAUCUAACAAAGGGAUUAUUAAGCGUCUAACGUUGUUAAAUGAAGCUUUGUGGUCAUAUCAGAUGGCAUGUCAUGGAUCAACUAAAGUUUCACCUUAUCAGUUGGUGUAUGGGCACGAUGUGGUGUUGCCAUGGGAGAUUAAGACUGGAUCUAGGCGGGUCUCUUUUCAAGAUCAAUUGGCUACUGAUGACUAUGCAACUUUUAUGAAAGAUGAAUUGGAUGAUUUGGCAGAGCAUCGGUUGAGAGCUUUGAUGAGUAUAGAAGAGAAUAAAAAGAGAGUUGCUAGAUGGUAUGAUAAAAAAGUAAAAGCUAAGGGGUUUGCCGCUGGAGAUUUGGUAUGGAAAUUAAUUUUACCGAUUGGGACUAAAAGUUCAAAGUUUGGAAAAUGGUCUCCUAAUUGGGAAGGUCCUUACUGGAUAACUCAGUCUGCUCCUGGUAAUGCUUAUAUUUUAGAAACUCUCGAAGGAGUUGAAUUUCCCAGAGUGUUAAAUGGAAAAUAUCUAAAGAAAUAUUACCCAAGCAUCUAGGUUGAUGCAUAGAAGUUUAAGUGCCGACAACACUCCUAUCGGCUGGACGAAAGGUAUCUGAGAUCGUGAUGUUUUAAGAAGUGCCGAUAACAGUCCUAUCGGCUAGACCAGAGUGAUCAAAAGUUUCUAAGGGCAGAACGAAACAAGUUGAUGAAGAGCUCACAGAUUUAGCAGAGCUUGGAUAGUGGGUAUGGUGCACAGACGGAUCUGGUUGGCUUCUUCUAUCUCCCAGAUAUCCUCAUCGGCAGAACCUUCUACUGGCUUCAGUUUCUUCUUCAUCUGCAGUGCUGUACGGGCUUCGAUGUUUCGUUCUUGUUGGAAAAUCUUGAGCUUCUCAUGUAGCUGGCUUUCUUCUUGUUGAGCUUGGGUCAGGGCCUAUUCUACUUGCUUGAGCUCAACUAGUAAGGCUUCCCUUCUUGCCGAUAAGACAGAGAUCUUCUGCUUUUGCUCAUCCCUGGAGGACUGCAGAAUCACUACAAGAAAUACCCUUAUACAUGACAUUUUAUUUUCGUCAUAGACAAGCGAAAACGCGUCACACUUAACUCACCAUGACGAUUGCAAAAACCGUCAUGUAUCCCACGUCAUACAUUUACUAGACUAAGAUAAGCCAUCAUAGAUUUGUAUUUGUGAUCAUCAUGAAAUCCCUAAAAGCCCAUGCAGCCCAGGCUAGGCCCGCUAGGGUGUGAUGAAAUAGACCGUCAUAACCAUCUGCCAUGUAGAAUGUUUUUCGUCACUGAUUUGAGUUGCCAUGUAAGCGCCAUUUGUUCACCAAAAUUGACCAUCACAAAUUAUAUAAUGAAAAUCACAUAAAGCCCAAUGAUUUGAUUAAGUCAUAGUACAUUAACACAACAUGUUCUGAUCAUCAUAAAACUUAAGGAAACACAAAAAUAUGUCAUUGUCAACCUUCACAUCUAUUACAAUAGCAUUAUGGACACCCUACUCAUAAGCUUGAAUAUUUUUUCUGUAUAGUGGCACUCCUUCAAAAGAUCCAUUGCACUAGGUUCCUAGUCUUUAUACUUGUCUCCCUGAAAAUACACAUGUGCACAGAUUAACUCAAAUGUAUGCAAAGUAAAUCGUAGGCAAGGAACAAGGCGUCUAAGUCAUGUACAAUAAGAAUGGAAAAGGAACAACCAUAUAUUCAACUGUGCUAAACAAUGACCUAUACAAUUCCAUAUGCCAUGGGCAUAUCCUAGUUUUAAGUUCAAUGAUAACAAAUAUUUCAGACAUAUAUGUCUAUAUCACUUAAUAUAACUCAGCCUAGUGCUAAACAAAACUAGAUAGUGAAUCUACCAGCUUAUGUUCAUCACAGGCUUUCUAAAACACAGAUAGUGAAUCUACUAAAAGGAUUAAUCCAGGAAACUGAAAAUCACCAUUUCAAACAGAGUAUAUUAUAAUAGCAUUCUGGACAGUCGAACACUCCUUCAAAAAUCCAUUGCAUCAGGUUCCUAGUCUUUCUACUUGUCUCCCUGAAAAUUACGCAUAUGCAGGCAAAUUGCAUUGAGUGUAUGAGCAGAGAAAGAGGAUUUUUCUAUUUAACACUACAUCAUUAGACUACUGCAAUUUAGAAACUUUUAUAGAUUCAAUGACUGUGUUUUAGACUAGUUUGGGAAAGGAUUCCAUUCCUAUAUUUUAGACUAGUUGCGGCUCUAAAUUGCUGACAACCACAAUGACAAUAUGUGCAAGUUACCGACAUUGCAAAACUGAGUGAUCCUCUAUUUGACAGUCACUAUUUAUUUGUUCCAAGUUUUCAGAUAUGUUCAACGUAAUUUAGAACUAAUUUAGCUAAGAACAGAGACAGAAUCCAACCAUGGUGUUAAGAUUGUCAAGUUUCUGGAUUGCCUCCUGAAUAUUACUCGACCAUACUGCCCUCUUAAUCUCCAUUCGUUCCAUUAUGGUUGCUACGUCAAUCUCUGCUGCAAAAAAAAAAAAUCCACAAAUCCACAAAGAGUUCAACAGCAGAGGAUAGAAAGGGCUACCUCCUAGAUCCGCAUCUGGUGGAGGGGGCAUAGCUCAAGCUCCAUAACCAGGGGCUGGGAGGCACCAUCGCAGAGGGGUAAAGGCCCGAGCUUCUCAUCUGAUGGAGCGAAGAUGGAUGGGGAGCCGCUAUGGAGCUUGAGCUAUGCAACCGGAGUGGGACCGAAGCGCCGCAUCUGGUGGAGGAGAAGGAUCUUGAGCUCUACAGCCAAAGGAGACGGGAGUUGCCAUUGCCGGAGGGGGCCGCCGCUGGAGGCCUCCAGAUGCCGCAUCUGUGGUGGAGGGAAGCUAGAGGGUGCGGCAGUGGUGGUGGCCGCGCCAAUGUGCUGAUGAGAGAGAGCCCGAACUAGGAAACCCUAACUCCCUAAGUUGUUGUAUAUAUACUCGAUACAUAUAAUGGGCCGGUUGUGGAUGUCCAAACGAGCCCAUAGAUGAUCCAUGAUGUUUUCUACAUACGUCACCCAAAAACCAUCAUGUAAAGGCAAAUUUUUUGUAGUGAAUGCCGAUGCUCUUGUGCUUCUCAUCGACAAUACACGUUACUUGCAUCACUUCUUCUGUGAGUUGGGCGUUAGCGGCUCUAUCGGCAAGACGCUGAGUAGCCUUCUAGUAUUGGAGCUGGCGACUCUCCAAGUGUGCAGCCUGAAAUAGAGUUUCUUCUACAUCAGCUGGGAUCUGGCCUCGAAGGGUCUUAAACAAAGCUUUGGCUGAGUUAGAAUCAUCGACAGUUGAGCGGUAUCUUGAUGUAGCAGAGCCAACAGGUCCUCCAGUUUAGCUUUGAUUUCUGCUGAUGAGAUCCCCACUGCUUGAGAAGAGCUUGCUUCUUCACCCUCAUCGUCGGAUAUGUCGAUGGCAAAGGAGAAUAAGCUGUCUGGAGAAUCCUGUUCCUGAGAAGGGAAUAGAGAUAAGAUAUUUGAUAAUCAAAUGCUGAUAAUAAAGGCUGGAGAUCAGAAACUUACUUGCUUCAGAGCAAUUUCGCGCCUUUGAUAAGGGGACGCGGCCUGUACUAUAGGUUGAUCGGCUGGAGUUGCCGAUGGAACAAUGUCAGCUGAGAAAUUACAAGAAUAAUUAUAAUUUGUAAAGAUAAAUCCAUCGGUGAUAAUUCUAUGGUCAGUACUUUACCUUGAGGAGGUGCAAUGCUUGUUUGCUCUGGCGGAACAACCGAUGAUAUGAUCAGAUCAACUGUAUCGAUAGUUUGCUCAUGUACUUCGGCUGGUGCUUCUUGUGGCUGAGGUGCUGGUUGAGGAGGGGACGAAACUUGCUGUGUGUGGAUUUCUAGUGAAGAAGGUGAUGAUUCUACAUGUAUCGGUGACACUAGCUGAGGAGGAGGAGAUGGUGCUGUCCUCUGGCGCUUUGACUGUUACUUGGUGCUCUUGGGGCCUUUUCUCUUUACUUGGCUAGGCUGGGGGGCAUCAGCACUGUUGGGUAUUCUUAACUUCAUUACUAAAAGUAGACUAAGUUCUCUAAAUCUAGUAACGGUGCCAAAAAUGCCAAACCUAUCCCUCACACCACUUAAGCCAAGUUGUCAUCCCCAGCAUGACAUGAGAGACGCGCUAUUGAAAUAUGCAAUUGCUCUUCUAAAUAAAUAAUGAAUGGGAUCUGCAAGCGCACAGAUUAAUACCGAUGCAGCAUUUUAACCGGGAAGUAUUCCAGGUAUCGUUAUUUAUAUUUUUACCACUGGGAAGGGAUUAGAAAUCAUCACUAAUGAUUACAGAAUAGAAUAUGAGAUUGAGCAUCUAUCAUUGCAUGUAUAAUUGAGAACAUUAUAUCUAACUCUUCAUACAGCGAUAAGUGUCACAUAAAAGAUAUAUGAAGUAAUAAUAGUGACAAGGAUAACUAAUCUGAUCUAGCCACAUAAUAAAUAUGAUAAGCACCUCAAUUAGAUACUCUAGAAAGUCAUUAGCAUGGUAUUAGAACGAACUACAAGAAUAUUCCCUAAGUUAUUCUUAACUAUAUAGUCUAGCAUUAUCAUAGUUAGUGCAAGCAUACUUAGCAAUCAUUGCGAGACAAGCCUACGCCCAUGCAUAGUGAUAUUAGCAAGGAAUAUGAGAAACAUAGCAAUCACUCCCCUGUAAUAAUGUUGCUCUGCCAGCCCAAUACACGAGAGGGGGACUAUAUAAGAAUCAAUGAAGUUGUCACUAUCACGAACCACCCCACGAUGUGGCAUAUUGGGUACAAUCGCAGAUAAAUACGGUAUAAGCACCACGCCUACACAAUAUCUAUCAUUUACCCAUGGAUCCGAUGGAUAAACGCUAUACGAUCCUAAGCAUGUAUAUAGAUCGUAUCUAACUAAGCCAAGUACAUAACUAUGAUAAACUAAGAACAAUAUAAUCUUGAAUAUAAGCAAGUAGAGCAAAGUCAUAAGCAAUAUAUUGAAGUAGAACAAAGUCAUAUUCAUAAUAUUGAAGAACAAAGAUAAUUAGAAAGCAAUUAGAAGCACAAUUAGAGAAUUACCAAGAAUCCUCCUGACAGAUCCGGAAACCAAUCGAAGAUUGACUCCUUCUAGUUCUAACCUAUGUAGCUAUGCUAUCUAGAUGUCUAAUUGAUGUGGUGGCUCUAAUCUUGAUCAGAGGCUUCUUCUCCCUUGAUGGAACAAUGAAUUAGGGUUGAGAGGCUCUCUCCUCCAGGGGCCAGGGGGUCUGGUUUUAUAGUCCCUUCAAGUGAAUAUGGGCCCUUGGAUCAAACCGACAUAGAUUGUAUGGUUUAGAUUCAUCCUUUAGGUCGGUGGAGAUCUCCCGCAAAGCAGAGUCCUGAUUGGACUCAGGGGCAGGGCGGGCGCCCUGACCAACUGGGCGGCCGCCUAGGGUCUGGCCCCGUUUCGCCUCCGCUUCGGUCUCGUGGCUUCUGGAGUCUUCUAGAUGUAAGAUAAUUGCGCAGCACGUUAAUAUCUUUACGUAAUCCCGACAUGUGGGCCUUUCUUCCAUAUUUCCUGAUAACCCCCUGCAUAAAUAGACAAACACCAGAACUCGUGGAAUUCUGUCAGAUAAAACCCUAAGUCUAGAUCUUGAUUUCAUUUGGAUCCUUUUCUUUAUUUAUUUGAUAAUUGAAUUUGAUACUUAAGGACCGUCAACAAACUCCCCCAAGCUUACCUCUUGCUCGUCCCUGAGCAAAGAUAGACUCAGCUAUGGAUCAUAAGUUGUUGCAAUAUUUUUUUAAAAAUUUGACGGUACACAUGCUUUUAAAUAAGAUCUCAUCUCUGAGUUAGAGUAAACUGUCAAGACUUAAAACUUACUUACUUUACCUACACCAUGGGACUUGUAACUGUCACUUCUAUCUUGAGUGGUUAAAAGAUAGAACACUCUAGCCAAGUGCCAUGUCUCUUAUUCUUGAUCAGCUAUAGCUUUGGGGUUUUUGCAGAUUUUCAAAUAAACCUCAGAAAUUCCUUAUAUGAUUCUCUCAGGUCUCUCUUUUGUGGUAUUUUUGGAUCCUUGCCAAGGCAUUGAUGGUAUAUGCCUUCUCUCAAGAUAUGUAGUAUUUGUGGUAUAAGGCAUAGUGACAUUGCCUUCUCUCUCACCCUACUCUAAUAAGGCUUUAAUAUCUGGAGCUCAUAGGUGGGAGAUAAAAUAUACAUACUUACAAGACAUUUAUUGCAUAGUCAAACCAUGGAUCCAAAGUAACAAGCCAAUAAGAUUAAUCAAGAUGUGCAUGGGUGGCGAAUGAAUGGUGUAUGGUGGUGAUGGUGAUAACAAUGGUGAAAACAAUGGUGGUGGAAGUCUAAUUCUACUUUGCUCUUUGAGGGAAUACAUACCUUCCUUGCUAUUGAAACUUUAUGAGGUGAAUGAGAUGCUCUUCUUUUUUUUCAGGUGGGUAUCUUGCACCCCUAAUUCUACUGUCGGACACUUGUCCAUUUUUACCUUUCGUCUCACUUUUUCUUUUCUUUCGAGGUUCCGAGCACUUGCUCCUUUUUAUUUCCUCGUAUAUUUUUUUUUAUUUUUUUUAGAGCACUCAUCUCUUGAGAUAAUAUAGCAAGUGGUAGUAACAAGAUAACUUGAGCAUUUAUUUCACAAGGGGAAAAUAGAAAUAUUUUUGGUUAUUCUCUCCCGGAUUAGGAGUAGAAUAUUUUUGGGUGAUUCUGGAGAUGGAAUGGGUGGAUAUAUGUGGAUGGUACUUCCGGAGUAGAAGUAGCAUAUAUGAGUGAACGUGUAAGUGAAUCUUGAUUUAACCACAUGACAAGCUCCUAAGGUUCUACACAGCUUGACCACACUCAAUGCUCAUAAGCAGUAAAUAUUAAAUGUGUGGCUCAAAGUCUAGCAAGCAUGUAUAAAUGGCUGUGGUAGGAAUUUAAACUCUCAUCAUACAGGAACUCAUCAUGCAACAUUUUAAAGAUUUUCAAAGAUAAAAUUCUCCAGAAUUCUAGCAUCUCUAGGAACAGAUAAACAGCAGCUCAACCUUCCCAUAUCAUAUCCGUUAACAACUUAUACUUCAGAUCAAGUUUUCAUCCCACAAGUUUAGGUCUAGAGCAAGCUUUAAAUUAUAACAGUUAUAUCUAAACUUGAGAGAGAACUUAAAAUUUGCAAAUUAGGCAGAGCAACUAUUCAUCAUAUCCAUGCUUAAGUUUUAUUUAGAUACAGAUUAGCAUAGACACUUUAUUUAUUUAUUAAACACACUAAGUAAAAGACAUAUAUAAGCAUAAAAUUUUUAUUUGGUUUUCCCAUAGUUUAUGUGUAUUUUAAUAUUCUAAAAUAAUAUAAGUAUAAAGAUAGAUAGAUAGAAAUACUUAUCGUGAUAAAUGGGGGUGCUCUCCCCCAAGCUGAAUUUUGACGUAAUUUCUCUUGAUGUAGCUAGCAGGUGGCAGAGGUGUAGUUGAAAGUCAGCAGCAUUCUGACAGCGAUUAGAAUGUCCUCCGUCUGCCAGUCUUCUUGAUUUCUGUGGAGCUCAAAUAGACAACAAAGCUUGUGGAACUGAUUAAGUGUUAGCAUAAAUAUCUAGCCUUUAUUAUCUUGAGACUCCUUAAUAAAUGUUACUCCCUGUUUUUAUAUUUUUGUUUUAUAAAGCAGAAAAAUAUUUAUUUUAUUUUUAUGCCACCACAGUGAAUGUACUUAUGGGUUUUAUGCCACUCGUCUACUCACAUAGGGCUUACUGUUUUUUCAUAUUUUUAUUUUCUUUUUAAGAUAGUGUGAAUAUGAUUAACUAAGUAAACUAUUUGAAAUAACUGAAAGGGAAAGGAUAACUACCAAGUUUACCUCUUGGCAAGGCGUUCGGUGUUUUUAAGUCCUCCGAAUGGGACUCUCCAAUUUCUUAAUUGUCCUGAGGUUCGUUGGGUGGCGUAGUCGGUACUUCCGGCAGCGCCUCCUCUUCUUGUAUAGUUAUCUUCAUUUUCCAUACCUGACUCGGUGCUUCGAUCUCCUCUGGAUAAUUCUGUUUAAAUUCAACGUCUUCUGACCUUACAACUUCUCCUUCAUAGUCUGCCCAUCCGUCCUUGAUGAUCUGCCUCCUCUGGUUGCGGUUGCGUCUUUUUCUGACCUGCUUAGAUUCUUCAAUGAUAUAGUCAGGGUCAAUAAAAUAACGGCGUACCUUCUCUGAGGGGAAGUGCAUAUGGACUUCUCCGGUUCCAAUGUAGAUAAUUGCUUUAACGGUGCUGAGGAAGGGUCUUCCAAGGAUGAUGGGUGGAUCAUACUCAUCUUCUCCCAUGUCAACAACUUGAAAGUCUGUGUAGACAAAGUGAUCGUCUAUUUUGACUGGGACAUCAGAUACUAUUCCUUUAACUUCUCGAAAUGUCUGAUCUGCCAUCUGGAGCUGAAUGUAUGUUGGUCUUAGUGGCAUGGUCCCGAACAAGAGCCGAUAAGUGACUGCGGCCAUUAUGUUGACGCCCGAUCCGGUGUCGCAAAUCGUCUUGUAGAAGUUGUAUCCAUUUAUGGAGCAGUAGAUGCUUGGCAUUCCUGGGUCGUCCUUCUUGGUCAAAAAUGGUGACUUAAGUUGAUGAUCUUGGCCUCCAUGGACUACAGUGACCAUCUUAGCUGACUCGGUCCACACUUGCUUGUUCCUGUUCCUCCUGUUGGUCCUCUUCCUUGAUUCACGUCUGGAUUGAUCUUGAAUUUGUGUAGUCUUGUUCUUGAAGAAAAAUGUCUCCUUCUUCCCUUUGACGUAGAAACUGAUCUUGGCAGCACCAGCGUAGAUGAUAGCUCCCAUGGUGUUCAAGAAUGGCCUCCCUAGGAUGAUAGGUGCUCUCUCAUCAUUUCCGGUCUCUACCACUACGAAGUCUGCUGGGGCAUACAAGGUACCAACUCGGACACAAAGGUUCCUCACUAUUCCGUUUGGAAAAGUUAUCGUCUGAUCUGCAAACUGCAAACACAUGGUUGUCUCUAAUAAACGAUAUGUAAAGAAUUUCUCAUAGAGUACCCUGGGUAUAAUGUUGACACUGGAGCCAAAGUCGCAGAGUGCUUCUGGGACAUCCACCAUGCCGAUAGAGAUCGGGACGACGGGGCGUCCUGGAUCGCCUCUCUUGACCGGCAGACGGUCAGUAGAAAAUUCAGUGACGGGGUUACUCCAAUUACCUGCAUCAAACAUGUCUACAAGAUUUGCAGAUUCUAAUCCUUCCGGUUGUGAUGGUAUACCGGGGUUAGUAGCAGGAACAGCAGCAGCAAUUUGAUUUAACUGAGAUUCAAUCAUUUUAUUAAAGCUAAUUUGAUUCUUGAUGGCAGUAGAGAAAUUAUCCAUUCUAUUAUUUAUAUUUUCUAGCAUUUUAUCAUUAGAUGCCAAUUUCUUAGAUAGGUUAUCCAUUAGCUUUCCUUGAUUAGACACUAACUCUCUCAAAGGUGGAAAAUUAUUAUUAUUGUUGUAAGAAUUGUUACCUUGAUAAUUACCUGAGUAGUUAGGCCUCUGUUGAUUCCAACCUUGAUUUUGUUGAGGACGGUUGUAGUAGUUGUUGUUGUUGAUGUAGUUCACAUCCUCAAGCAUCUCAGGGCAGUGAUUGCCUGAGUGUCCAGUGUCUCCACACUCCUCACAAGUCAUGUGAGAGUCGUAGAUGUGCAUAACUUCUUUCUUGCCUCCAGCUCUAUCAUCGAGCUUCUUCAUGAGCAGGUCUAGCUUUGCAGACAGCAUGUCUACCUCCUUCAGCUGAUGCAUACCUCCACCUCUCUUGCGUGUCUGGCUCCUCUCUUCAUUCCAGCUUUGGUUGGACGCCAUCUUCUCCACAAGAGCUGUGGCUUGUGGUAUAGUAAGUGAUAAGAAUGCUCCUCCAGCUGCAGCAUCCAUGGUCUCUCGGGCACUGUUGCCGAGCCCAUGAUAAAACGUCUGCAUCAAUAGCCAACUCUCCAUUCCAUGAUGGGGACAUUCUAGGAUGUAGUCUUGAAAGCGCUCCCAUGCUUCUGGAACAGAUUCAUCAUUUUGUUGAUGAAAACUUGUAAUCUUCCCACGGAGAGCAUUGGUCUUGCCCAUGGGAAAGAACUUAGCCAGGAAGUUUGUUGAGCAGAGUGCCCACGUAGUAUUCUUCUCCUUUGUAGCGUAGAACCACUGCUUCGCUCUUCCUAACAGUGAGAAUGGGAAGAGGCGAAGUAGUAUAGCAUCUUUGGAAACUCCUGCUAUGGUGAAUGUGUUGCAAAUCUCCAGGAAGUGUUGUAAAUGAGCACUAGCAUCUUCGUGUGCCUUCCCACAGAACUGGUUGGAUUGCACCAUGUUAAUAAGUCCAGGCUUGAGCUCAAAGUUGUCGUCGAUCUCUGCAGCAGGUCCAGUGCGGAUGUUGUCCGUAGUGGGAGCUGAGAACUCGCGGAUCGAUUUGUUCGCCAUGGCUUCGAACUCUGAAGACAAGUUCCGGUGAUCUUCUUGAUUGGAUGAAGCUUCUUGCUGAAGUGUUGAUGAUUUCUUUAGCUUGGCUCUCGUCUUCUUGAAUAAUGCUUCGGGAUUGUCAACAAAAUUUCCUGGAAGAUGUCUUCUAUUCAUACAUUCCCCUACAUAAGAUAAAAUAGAAAAAUAUCGGGGUAAAACUGUAUGAGAGAAUAGAUAAGCUCAAUCAUAUUAGUGAUGCGAAUGAUAACUCAAAAUGUUUUAUUCCAUUCCUGAUUAGUAAUCAACCUUCCCCGGCAAUGGCGCCAAAAAAUGCUUGUUGGGUAUUCUUAACAUCAUUACUAAAAGUAGACUAAGUUCUCUAAAUCUAGUAACGGUGCCAAAAAUGCCAAACCUAUCCCUCACACCACUUAAGCCAAGUUGUCAUCCCCAGCAUGACAUGAGAGAUGCAGUAUUGAAAUAUGCAAUUGCUCUUCUAAAUAAAUAAUGAAUGGGAUCUGCAAGCGCAUAGAUUAAUACCGAUGCAGCAUUUUAACCGGGAAGUAUUCCAGGUAUCGUUAUUUAUAUUUUUACCACUGGGAAGGGAUUAGAAAUCAUCACUAAUGAUUACAGAAUAGAAUAUGAGAUUGAGCAUCUAUCAUUGCAUGUAUAAUUGAGAACAUUAUAUCUAACUCUUCAUACAGGGAUAAGUGUCACAUAAAAGAUAUAUGAAGUAAUGAUAGUGACAAGGAUAACUAAUCUGAUCUAGCCACAUAAUAAAUAUGAUAAGCACCUCAAUUAGAUACUCUAGAAAGUCAUUAGCAUGGUAUUAGAACAAACUACAAGAAUAUUCCCUAAGUUAUUCUUAACUAUAUAGUCUAGCAUUAUCAUAGUUAGUGCAAGCAUACUUAGCAAUCAUUGCGAGACAAGACUACGCCCAUGCAUAGUGAUAUUAGCAAGGAAUAUGAGAAACAUAGCAAUCACUCCCCUGUAAUAAUGUUGCUCUGCCAGCCCAAUACACGAGAGGGGAACUAUAUAAGAAUCAAUGAAGCUGUUACUAUCACGAACCACCCCACGAUCUGGCAUAUUGGGUACAAUCGCAGAUAAAUACGGUAUAAGCACCACGCCUACACAAUAUCUAUCAUUUACCCAUGGAUCCGAUGGAUAAACGCUAUACGAUCCUAAGCAUGUAUAUAGAUCGUAUCUAACUAAGCCAAGUACAUAACUAUGAUAAACUAAGAACAAUAUAUCUUGAAUAUAAGCAAGUAGAGCAAAGUCAUAAGCAAUAUAUUGAAGUAGAACAAAGUCAUAUUCAUAAUAUUGAAGAACAAAGAUAAUUAGAAAGCAAUUAGAAGCACAAUUAGAGAAUUACCAAGAAUCCUCCUGACAGAUCCGGAAACCAAUCGAAGAUUGACUCCUUCUAGUUCUAAUCCUAUGUAGCUAUGCUAAUCUAGAUGUCUAAUUGAUGUGGUGGCUCUAAUCUUGAUCAGAGGCUUCGUCUCCCUUGAUGGAACAAUGAAUUAGGGUUGAGAGGCUCUCUCCUUCAGGGGCCAGGGGGUCUGGUUUUAUAGUCCCUUCAAGUGAAUAUGGGCCCUUGGAUCAAACCGACAUAGAUUGUAUGGUUUAGAUUCAUCCUUUAGGUCGGUGGAGAUCUCCCGCAAAGCAGAGUCCUGAUUGGACUCAGGGGCAGGGCGGGCGCCCUGACCAACUGGGCGGCCGCCCAGGGUCUGGCCCCGUUUCGCCUCCGCUUCGGUCUCGUGGCUUCUGGAGUCUUCUAGAUGUAAGAUAAUUGCGCAGCACGUUAAUAUCUUUACGUAAUCCCGACAUGUGGGCCUUUCUUCCAUAUUUCCUGAUAACCCCCUACAGAAAUAGACAAACACCAAAACUCGUGGAAUUCUGUCAGAUAAAACCCUAAGUCUAGAUCUUGAUUUUAUUUGGAUCCUUUUCUUUAUUUAUUUGAUAAUUAAAUUUGAUACUUAAGGACCGUCAACAAGCACUUGUUUGAGCCCUUCUAGUCUUUGCCGAUUUGCCAGUUUGCUGUUACAACAACCAAGAUUUCAUGAGUAAAAGUAUGAAAGAAUGUUGAUGAAAUCUUGUUAAAAGAUAAAGGUUACCGAUGAGGUUCCCAUAGCAACCGAUGUAUCCUGAAAAGAUUAUGUGAGUAUGGGAUAGAAUCGGUAUAAACAAAGGAAAUCAAAAGUCUACCUUGAAAGCCUGCGCCAGGGUAGUAGCAGCAACUGAUGGGGACGUCUUUGACCGCUUGGUGGUUAUCUUCUUGAAGCGCACAUUCCGAUGAAUCAAAGCUGCCGGACUUGGUGCAUUGUGACCGAUCAGUUCGAUCGGUCUUCCACUUCUACAGACUGUCGGUGGUGGGUUGUCGAUUUGUUUGAAAAAGGGAGAAUAAGUUACCGAUAAGGUUAGAAGUAACAACAGAACUGAGAUGUCAGUCAAAAACUUACAGUGUUAUCGGGAACCUUAUAGUUGGAGCCGAUCAUGCCACGGUAUGUCAGAGCCGAUGCGCAGAACAGGUGUUCUUUCCAUUCUUCCCACCACUGUUUGUGCGCCUGAGUGAUCAAGAGGGCCGAGAUCCAAGCCGAUAGAUCGAUAUCUGACGUAUCGGCAUUUGGUUGAAGCUGAGCUAUCCUUAUCCACUCGAGCCCAUUAGUUAUAGUCUCCCUGGGUUUCACCACAUCGGCGUAACAGACUCUGAUCACCAGCUACCCAAAUGCCAGUUGAUGAGCUAAUGCCGAUGGAUUGUAAAACUCGUAAGUGGGGUUAGAGUUUUUCCCACUACCAAAGGUGUUUACUGGGAUAGCCCUCGAAGUGAUGAUUGCCAUCAUCAGAUCAUUAUCUUUAUUAGGAGCAUCAUCAAAGGGAUGGAAGAUGAGCGGAAAUCUGGUUUCUGGGUCUUCAUAAGGCAUCCAUACACGUUAAUCUUUGGGAAGACCCUAAUACAGAGUCUGGAAGAAUCAGCUGACCUGGUCUUCAUUACCACCAGUACCAGGUAGCUCUAUGGCGGCCUCACCGUAAUUCCAGGUGAGCGAGUUGCCGAUUCUUCGUCAGCCAGUUCAUGGUCUUCGGUGAUAUCUCUAUGGAAUUGUUGUGCAAAGAGGUCGAAGCAGAGACGUUUGUGCAUGUGGACGUUAAGCCACAUGUUGAUGAACCACCAAGGGCCUCCUAGGUUGCCGAUGGGUUGGCCUAAUAGGAGCUUCUCAGCCACUUGAUGGAGGAGGUGGUAGGCAGAACCAAGGAAGUAUCGACCGAGAGGAAAUCGGCUGCCAUCAGCCAGUCUUUCUGCUGCCAAUAAGUAGACAGAGGUUGGUCCUACCAAUCGGCCACAGAAGACGAACUUGUCUAACCACAUGUUUAGGAAAACUACAUGUUCUCUUUGACCGACUGGUCCCGUCCUCUGGUACUUCUGGAUGUACCCUGACCAACCGCCGAUGUUGAGGGUUUCUACUUUGCACUCGGGUUUGCUGUCGUAUAGAUGGCUAUCAUCAGCAGAUGAUAUGUCUAAGCCAGUGAGCAUGAGCACAUCGGCAAGAGUGGGGGAAGCAGGGCCAUGACCAAACAGAAAAGCAUUGAAAGUAUCUGACCAGAAGUAUGAAGCAACUAUCAAUAGCGAUUCAUUUCUUUCCAUAUCGGCAAUGGAUAACCUGAUACACUGGUCCAGUUUGUGCUCACCCCAUUGGACUUUGUUUGAGUUGCCAACUAUCAGGAACCAAUCUCUCCAUCCCUUAGUAGAACUGGGCCAAGAUCGGAAGGUAUCUUUCCAUAGAUCUGAGGAGAAAUUUUCAGCUCUAAAGGGGAUUCUAUUUAUCUCUGCGUUGAUCAGAUUGGUAGGAUCCGGGUUACCCAAUGGCCCGAGACAUUGAAAGUGGGGUUGAUCGGUGGGAAUCACAAUUUUAUCAGCGAAUUCCUAAAGGUUUGAAGGUUGGAAGAACAGAAAAAGGAAAAAGAAAGAAAGAACGUACUCAGUAAAUAGAUUUGCGGAAGUUAAAACUACAACAAGUAGACAGGGGAAAUUGACCUCAGGGACGGUGAAGUUCAUAGCCAUUUCUUCCAGGGAGGAAGAAGAUCAAUGAAGGACUGGCUGGGCUUGCUGACGUUCUCGGACUCCUCGAACAAUGCCGCCGUUAGGAAGAUGGGUUUUGAGGAUGCAGAAUGACAAGGUGGAGGAAGAGUGCCGAAGAAGGAAGUAUUUAUAGGAUAAAGAGAGCAGGGGUAUUUCUGACCUAUUCCUUUGCCGUAUCCAUGAAAAUCGAGGGUGUUCAGGUGGAUAUGGUAACUGUUCGCACGAUAAUCAAGGGAUUGUGUAGGUGAUUUGACAGUAAGCGGUCAUAAUUUUGGGAAGAUAUUUUACUGUGCAAGAUCUCCUGGUCGGUUCAUCGACAGUUCUCUCUAACGGAAACAUUGCCGAUGAACGAAUAUUUAGGAGAUUCGGUCUGAGGAGUUGAGAGAUUCGAGGUGCAUGCUGGAGAACCGGGCUAAGGUUGUUCGGAUUUGGUAAUUAAUUAUUGUCAGGUGGGAGUAAUCGCGGAAAGGCAUCAUUACUGAAGAGAAUUUUGGAGCAUUAAUGAUUUUAUACUCCGAAAUUGGGGGGCAUGUGUUGACACCGUUUUUAGACACGUAUCUUUGGACGCGUAUCUGAGAAUUAGUAAAAUAUAGAUCGGCAGGUGAAAGAGUGGUGAGUGUUUGUCAAGGAGGUUACCGAUGGGAAUUGAUGCCGAUAGAUAAAGAGCAGAAUGUGGCCAAGACUAGGGAUGGUGAUUGAUCUAUACCGAUGAUUGAUGCUUGCGAUUGCCGAUGUCGAUGGAAGGUGGUUUGCCGAUUGCCGAUGGCAACAGGGGGAGCGCAGGAGUUGCUGACAAGAUGGUGACGGUGUGUCGAUUGCUUGUAGUGGAUAGAUUAAUGUUUUGCAUAGCUGUUAGAGUUCGUUUUGUGUACGGAUUCCAUUCAAUUUUGAAUUAGAGUCCUAGUCGUGUUUGGUUGUAAUUCUUCUGGGCAGGGUAUAAAUGUAGACCCUGUAGCGGUGUAAUAGAUAUACACAAUCAAUCAAACACAAGUUUUUACAUCUAUCCCAGUAUCUACUUUUUUGAUGACUUCGUCAACUUGCAUAUUUUCUUUUUACUUACGAGUUCUUAGGAAUUCAUCGAGUCAAUCUCGGCGAGUUCUCAAGUUCUGCGUGAAUACCUCUUGGCCGUGACAUUCGGGCGCAUCGCUGUUGUCGGGACCAAAGUAUUCGUGUUAUCACCUUUAUCGAUUGUAAGGUCAAAUCGGCUGGCACGCCUUAACGUUGAAUCGGGUAUUAGCCCUUUGUGUUUGCAGAUCUACUUUUGCAUCAACAGGUCCCUUAUGAAAUGGUGCCUUAUGUCAAUGUGCUUGGUUCUUGAAUGUUGAAACAGAUUUUGUGUCAUCUUAAUUGCACUCUCAUUGUCACAUAGCAAAGGCACAUUCUUGAAUUUUAUUCCAAAGUCAUUCAAGGUAGCUUUCAUCCAAAGCAAUUGUGCACAACAACUACCGGCACUAAUGUAUUCGGCCUCAGCGGCUGAUAGUGCAACACUAUUUUGUUUCUUUGAUGACCAUGAAACUAGAGACAUUCCUAGCAAUUCACAAGUGCCACUUGUGCUCAUUCUAUCAAUCUUGCAUCCACCAUAAUCGGAGUCUAAAUAUCCAAUCAACUCAAAGUUAGACCCCUUGGGAUACUGUUGACACUUGCUAACACCACUUGAAGACUAGGUUGUCAUCCCCAGCAUGGCACCUUGUACUAUGGUAUUUAUACGCACACAGAUAAAUCCGCAAGUGCACGGAUACCGUUGUAGCUUUUACCCAGUUAAAGGUUUUAUCGUAUCCACAGGGAAACGGGAGAACUGAUCUACGCUCUAACUUAACCUAGAUAGAUAGGUAGGUGUAAAUAGGAAAGAUGAUAGGAUUGAAUAAGAACAAUAUUAAAGGUAAGAUAACAGUGAGUAAAUAUAGAGUAGAGCAAUCUAAUAUAUGGGCGAUGGUAGGAGAAUAGAGAGGAUAACUAUGGUUUCUCUACUUCAAAGGGGCAUGUCUUUGUCUGGGAUGUACCACGUGAUAAGAAUACACCACAAAGGAUGCUUAUCCAUAGGCCGAUAAACCCUACCCGUCCUGCUAACAGGAGGUGGACUACAGGGGACCAAUGUAACUAUCACCUACGCGGCCUACCACACGAUCCAGCUAGACAUGGGAUAUCCACAAGUAAUCUCAGGUCUAAGCACCAUGCUUACACCUAUACUACAACUCCACCUAUAGCGUCCUAUAGAUUAAAGUACUCAAAAGAGUUGUGAACCAGAACAUACAUGAAUAGUAAUUGCAUAAUGAAUUAGAAGUAGAUUACUAGAGUCAUCCCAUGAGCAAGCUUGAUUAGAGCUUGAUCAUGACGAAGUACAACUGGAGGAAGAACCGACAGGCCGGCCUCUCCUCCAAUCCUCGCUCGCUCUCCAUCUCGCUACUAUCUAGAUCUACUCUAGUUUAGAGAUGAGAGGAGAGCUCUCAUCUCCAAACCCUAGCUUUUGCUCUGUCUAUGAAUAAUGAAUAGGGAUCAAAGGGUGCCUCCUACAGGGGCCAGGGGGUCUGCUUAUAUAGUCCCCUCAAGUGAAUCUGGGCCGUCGGAUCAAACCAACAUUGAUUGAACGGUUAUCCUUGAUCCUUUCGGUCGGUGGAACGUAAUCCGCGAGAAGGGUACUAUUUGGACUCUGUUGCUGGGAGGGCGCCCAAGGGGGGAGGGCGAGCGCCCUGCCCCUGGGCUCGAUCGUCCUCCCUUUCAUUCCCGUGGCUUCUGGAGUCCUCUAGAUGAUUGAAAAUUGCACGGCACGUUUAUUUCUCUAUAUAAACCCGACAUGUGGGCCUUUCCUCCAUAUUUCCUGAUAACCCCCUGGAGAAAUAGACAAACACCAAAACUUAAGGAAUUCUGUCAGAUAAAACCCUAAGUCUAGUGCUGGUUGCAUUUGGAUCCUUUUCUUUAUUUAUUUGAUGAUUAUAUUUGGUACUUAAGGACCGUCAACAACUCCCCCAAGCUUACCUAUUGCUCGUCCCUGAGCAAGGAUGGACUCAAGAGUUUCUGCAGUGGUUUUAUGCCUUAAAAGGUACACAUGCAUUCAAACAAGAUCUCAUCUCUAGGUUAGGGUAAACUGUUAAGACUUAAAACUUACUCAUUUUACCUUUCACAAUGGGGCUAGCAACCGUCACUUAUGUCUUGAGUAGUUAAAAGAUAGAACGGUCAUGUCAAGCACCAUGUCUCUUGUUCUUUGAUCAACUAUAGCUCUAGAGUUUUUUGCAGAUUUUCAAAUAAAACUCAGAGAUUCCUAUAUGACUCUCUCAAUUCUCUCUUUUAUGGUAUUUCUGGAUCCUUACCAAGGCAGUGAUGAUAUAUGCCUUCUCUUAAAGUAUGUAGUAUUUGUGGCGUGAGGCAUAGUGAUAUUGCCUUCUCUCUCAUCCUACUCUAAUGAGGCUUUGAUAUCUGGAGCUCAUAGGUGGGAGACAGCUAAUACAUACUUACAAGACAUUUAUUGCAUAGUCAAACCAUGGAUCCAGAGAAACAAGUCAAUAAGUCAAAUCAAGAUGUGCAUGUGUGGCGAAUGAAUGGUGUAUGGUGAUGAUGGUGAUAACAAUGGUGAAAGUCUAAUUCUACUUUUGCUCUUUUGAGGGGAUACAUACCUUUCUUGCACUUUGAAGCUUUUUGAGGGGGGAAUGAGAUGCUCUAUAUUUUCUCUUUUUUUUUCUUUUCUCUCAGGUGGGUAUCUUGUACUCCUAAUUCUACUGUCGGACAAUGUCCAUUUUUACCUCUCGUCUCACUUUUUCUUUUCUUCGAGGUUUCGGGCACUUGCCCCUUUUUAUUUCCUCGUAUUCACUUUUUUUUUUCAGAGCACUCACCCUCUUGGAAUAAUGUAGCAAGUGGUAGUAACCAAAAUAUCUUGAGCAUUUAUUUCACGGGGAAUAACAGGGAUAGGAUAAUGUUUUUAGCUAUUCUCUCCUAGAUAGGAGUAAAAUAAUUUUGGGUGAAUCUGGAGAUGGAAAUGAGUGGAUGUAUGUGGAUGCGUACUUCCGGAGUAGAAGUAGCAUGUAUGAGUGAACGUGCAAGUGAAUCUUGAUUUUAACCGCAUGACAUGCUCCUAAUGGUCUACACAACUUGACCACACUCAAUUCUCAUAUGCAGUAAAAAGUAAAUGUAUGGUUCAUAGUCUAGCAAGGAUGUAUAAAUAGCUGUGGUAGGAUUUUAAACUCUCAUCAUACAGGAACUCAUCAUGCAACAUUUUAAAUAUUUUCAAAGAUAAAUUUCUCUAGAUUUCUAGCAUCUCUAGGAACAGAUAAAUAGCAGCUCAACCUUCCCAUAUCGUAUCCGUUAACGACUUAGACUUUAGAUCAAGUACUCUUCCCACAAGUUCAGGUUUAGAGCAAAUCUUAAUUCAUAACAGUCAUGCCUAAAAUUGGGAGAGAUUUCAAUUUUGAGAACUAGACAGAGCAACUAUUCAUCAUUUUCAUGUGAGAGCUUAUCAUGAGGGUUCAUAGCAAACUUUAUUUAUUUAUUUAUUUAGCAAAAUAAGCAAAGAUAUUUAUAUAAGCUCAAAAUCUUUAUUUAGAUUUUUAUGAUUAUGCAUCUUUUUAUUAUUUGAGUAAAGUAUAAAUAUGAGUAGAAACACUUAGCUGGAUAAAUGGGGGUGCUCUCCCCCAAGCUGGAUUUUGACGUAAUUUCUUCUGAUGUAGCUAGCAGGUGACGGAGAUGUAUUUGAAUGUCGGCAGCACCCUAACAGCGAUUAGGAUGUCCUCCGUCUGCUAGUCUUCUUUGAUCCUUGAAUUCUGUGGAGCUCAAAUAGACAACAAAGCUUUGUGGAACUGGUUAAGUGUUAGCAUAAAAUCUCUUUGCCUUUAUCAUGUUGAGCUUCCUCUAAUAAAUAUUACUCUCUUUAGUAGGAUCAUAAAUUUAUUUUUAUAUUUUCAUUUCUAUAGGACAGGAAUAUAUUUAUUUUAUUUUUAGGCCACCACAGUGAAUGUACUUAUGGGUUUUAUGCCACGAGCAUACUCACAUGGGGCUUACUAUUUUUAACAUUUUUAUUUUCUUUUCAAGAUAGUAUGAUUAACUAACAAGCUAUUUAAGGAAAGUCAAUAAUUUAAGGAAAAGGGAAUGCAGAAAGGAUAAAUAUGGAUAACUACCGAUUUUACCUUUCGGCGAGGGUUCAAUGUUUUAAGUCUUCUGAACAAGACUUCUCACCGUGUUCAUUCUUCAGUUGCGUCAUUUGAUUCAGGUGUGGACCUUAACAUCUGCACCUCUUGAUACGGUGUCACCCAUGUUCUUCGUUUGCCCAUUAGUUCGAAGUGCGGCGUUAUGGAUAAUAAUAUCAUGAUUGUAGCAUUUAAAACAUUUGUCAGAUCAGACCGCUCAACCUAAUGGAAAGAUAAUCUAUCUAUUUUUAUGUGUUUUUUAUAUAUCUGCCAAAGAUUGAGUGUGCAACAUUUUAGCUCAUAUGAUUAAGAGUGUGGGAUCACAAACGUAGAAGGACUAAACAUGUUGAAUCGAUUGGGUUGGUUAACCUAGGGUUGUAAAUCGUACAUGUUUGUCAGUUUUAUUCAUAGGAACGCCAGAACCAAGAAGAAGCUUAUAAAAGUGAUAAUCAAGUACCUUAAGAUGUUACCUUACUUGAAGAGUGAUGGUACAGUAUCACCUUGUGGAAGCUUUCCUUUCUUAGCGGUUGUGCAUCAUAUUUGUGGCACCCUCCGUGGAUCAUCUCUUAUGAGCUAUGUUUUCCUUGUGUAAAUUGUUAAACUUGAUGUGUCUCUCUCUUUGUCUCCGAUGUGAGUUUAUCUCAGGACUUCCCAAAUCGAUAUUGAAAGUAUUUCUAUAGGGGUUAGUUCGACAACAUAUACCAAUGUCUACACAAGCAGUUUUUAGUUCAAUAACCGAACUAGACUCCAUGUCUAAUCAGAUUAAGGAAGGCUGUUUAACCUAAGCACCAUGCUUAAUUGAAAAGCCAAUAGAAGUAUGCACAGUACUUCCAAACUAACACUUACGAGGAUAAACAAAGGUAGCAUGAUGGCAUUUAUAAAGAUCUACUCAAGUGGAGAUGAUGUAGUGUGAUUAGUAUUUAACAAAUUGAGCAUGUCUUAAAGGUAGGGACAACCAACAUAGCAACAUGGCAAAGGAUAUUUUUAUGUAAGGUACUCCCCCAAGCUUGAAUUUUGCAAAAUUCAAGUUUGGAUGAAUUUCAUUCAGUGUUGCAUGAUGAUUGGUUGGACAUACCUUGUGCUUGUCAUUCAUCCAAUCUUCUUGCUCCAAUCCUAGAAAGGUUAGUGACAAGAAUACCCGAAGGAAUAUUUUUACAAUUAUUCUUAUAUGCUCAAUACACAAGGUAAUAUUGUAAAUAAUUAAAAGGUCAUGUUACGAUCUGAUCAGUGCUUAUUUUAGGACACUAAGCUUGUCCUUGGGAAACCAUCAAUUUAUGUCGGUGAAGUGGUUUCCCUUCCAACGCUGACCUAUAUCAAGAUCAACUCAACGAGAUCUGCAAUAUUUAUUAUAGACAUAUGCAUCGACAAUUGUCCUUUUAAAGUUUUUGUAAAUAGAAAGAAAGAGUGGGUUGGAUAUCUCAAAUGUGGUGAUGUUGGCGAGACCAAUAGAUUGGAAAGAUGUUGCAUAUGGGCAUGGAGUAAACGAAGUGGCUAUGAAAUAAAUUCCAUGCUCAUUAAUGUUAUCUUCGUCUCCAAUCUGAAUGUUCGGAGUUUCUCCUGGAUUGGUCUCACCUAUGUCCUCUUCUGUAGUUGGAUGAAUCUCAUCUUCAAAGGGAGCCAAGAACUCACCAUUUGAAAUUGAGCCAAAGUCAGAAUCCAUUAAGGGUUCUUCCUUAUCCAUCCAUUCUACACAUUCUAGCCAUUUAGAACUUGUGAUCAGGAAGGGGGAGGUGUUAGAAUUUUCUAUAUGGUUUAGCUCUCCUUCACUUGAUAUGUCAUCCUCAACUUCUUCUUAACAGGAACUAGGACAUUCUCUAAGAGAACCAUUAUUGCAAGGAUUUGAAUUAUCCCUGGUUGAAGGUCUCUUAUGGAACCAGAAGUCUAAUCCAUAAGCAUCUGAAAGAUUUAAGGUCGGAAUUCCUUCCUCCCUUGGAGAAUUUUGGGGUAUUGAUGGUUUAGGAUCGCUAGCUAAAGUUUGGGAUUGCAGUGGUUGUGAUCUGGCUAUCAAAACUUCUUCUUCUUGUCUAGGAACUGGUUCUUUCUCUUUCUCAGGGUUAUAAAAGCUAGGAGACUUUCCGCUCAUUAAAUCAAUCAAAUUCCAAGCAUCACUAGCGGACAGGUGGUGCAAGGAUCCUCCAGAGGCCGCAUGAAGGGUUUGCUUAUUUUUCCUACUAAGGCCCUUAAAAAUUGAAAUAGAAGAACUUGUUCUAGAAUAGAAAGCUUUGGGCCAGUGAGAGUAAGGUCACUAAAGUGGUCCCUUGAUCCGCCAAUAGAUUCUUCUUCUAAUUGUCUAAAAGAAAGAAUCUCGAGCCGAAUAUCUGCCACUUUGGAGAUCAAAAAAUAUUUAAAGAGAAAACUAUUGUAUAGCUCCUUCCAAUCUCCAUGAGCACUUCCUAUGUUUAGUUUAUACCAAUGUCUAGCUUUUCCCGUUAAAGAGAACGGAAAGAGCUUCCAUUUAAGGGUCUCAUCAGACAUGCCUUCAAUGCGAAGGAGGUCACAGACUCGAUAAAACUCUCUUAGGUGUGUGUAUGGGUUUUCCUCACCUUCUCCUGAGAAAGGCUGUUUUUGAAGAAAUUCUAUGUAUUCCGGGCUUAUCUCGAAACUAGAUGUCAUGAUUGGCUUUGAAGAUUUUGGUGGUUCGAGAUGUGUGCCCGUAGGUCUAUUAAAUUCAUAGAUAGACAUGUUUGAAUUCAUGAUAGACCAGAGAUCAAGGAUUAGAUAAGAAGAAAGAAUAGCAGAGAUAAGGCAAAAGAUAAAAGGAAAAGUAUAUAUAUAUUUUUUUAAUUUUUUUAGAAAAUGAUUAAGCUAGUUCGUAGUCAACUCAGCAACCGUCUCCCCAGCAACUGCGCCAAAAAUGCUUGUUGACACUUGCUAACACCACUUGAAUACUAGGUUGUCAUCCCCAGCAUGGCACUAGAGUGUACUAUGGUAUUUAUACGCACACAGAUAAAUCCGCAACCGCACGGAUACUAUUGUAGCUUUUACCCGGUUAAAGGGUUUAUCGUAUCCAUAGGGAAACAGGAGAAUUGAUCUACGCUCUAACUUAACCUAGAUAGAUAGGUAGGUGUAAAUAGGAAAGAUGAUAGGAUUGAAUAAGAACAAUAUUAAAGGUAAGAUAACAGUGAGUAAAUAUAGAGUAGAGCAAUCUAAUAUAUGGGCGAUGGUAGGAGAAUAGAGAGGAUAACUAUGGUUUCUCCACUUCAAAGGGGUAUGUCUAUAUCUGGGACGAACCACGUGAUAAGAAUACACCACAAAGGAUGCUUAUCCAUAGGCCGAUAAACCCUACCCGUCCUGCUAACAGGAGGUGGACUACAGGGGACCAACGUAACUGUCACCUAUGCGGUCUACCACACGAUCCAGCUAGACAGGGGAUAUCCACAAGUAAUCUAGGUCUAAGCACCAUGCUUACACCUAUACUACAACUCUCACCUAUAGCGUCCUAUAGAUUAAAGUACUCAAAAGAGUUGUGAACCAGAACAUAGAUGAAUAGUAAUUGCAUAAUGAAUUAGAAGUAGAUUACCAGAGUCAUCCCAUGAGCAAGCUUGAUUAGAGCUUGAUCAUGACGAAGUACAACCGGAGGAAGAACCGACAGGCCGGCCUCUCCUCCAAUCCUCCCUCGCUCUCCAUCUCGCUACUAUCUAGAUCUACUCUAGUUUAGAGAUGAGAGGAGAGCUCUCAUCUCCAAACCCUAGCUUUUGCUCUGUCUAUGAAUAAUGAAUAGGGAUCAAAGGGUGCCUCCUCCAGGGGCCAGGGGGUCUGCUUAUAUAGUCCCCACAAGUGAAUCUGGGUCGUCGGAUCAAACCGACAUUGAUUGAGCGGUUAUCCUUGAUCCUUUAGGUCGGUGGAACGUAAUCCGCGAGACGGGUCCUAUUUGGACUCUAUAGCUGGGCGGGCGCCCUACCCCUGGGCCCGAUCGUCCUCCCGUUCGUUCCCGUGGCUUCUGGAGUCUUCUAGAUGAUAGAAAAUUGCGCGGCACGUUAAUAUCUCUAUGUAAUCCCGACAUGUAGGCCUUUCCUCCAUAUUUCCUGAUAAUCCCCUGCAGAAAUAGACAAACACCAACACUCGUGGAAUUUUGUCAGAUAAAACACUAAGUCUGGGUGUUGGUUGCAUUUGGAUCCUUUUAUUUAUUUAUUUGAUGAUUAUAUUUGGUACUUAAGGACCGUCAACAGAUACCAUAAUCCAACAUCAUGAGUUCCCUUAAGAUACCUCAAUAUCCUCUUGGUUGCCUUCAAGUGACUCUCCCUUGGUGAAGCUUGAUAUCUUGCACACUUGCAUAGACUAAACAUCACAUCUGGUCUUGAUGCGGUGACAUAGAGCAAACUUCCAAUCAUGGACCAAUAUAGCUUUUGAUCUACCAUGUUGCCACUUGCAUCACUACCUAAUUGAUCAUUUGUGCCCACAGCUGUGUUCAUUGGUUUAGCUUCUUGCAACCCAAAUUUCUUGAUCAUGGCCUUGAUGUACUUUCCUUGACUUAGAGAAGUGUCAUUCUUCAUUUGCUUGAUUUGAAGACUGUCGGUGUCUUCCCCAUGGGGGGUCACACCAACGAGUAAAUUUGUGUGCGUGCUCCCUUUCCCAGAUGGUGAUGCAAGAAGACACAGAGAUUUAUCCUGGUUCGGGCAAGAGAAGGCCCUACGUCCAGCGGGGGGGAGAGGCUUGUAUUAUCUUGCACCUAAGUGCUUGUAUAGGGGUGAAUACAAGCGUGGUAUGAAGUGUGUGAGCCCUACUGCGUAUGUGUGUAGUAUUGCGCGGUGUUCUAUUCCUGAGUCUCUCCUUUUAUAGUUCCAAGGAGUGACUUAGGGUACAUGCGUAGAUGUCAGAGUAGGGGUCGGUAGCAGCAUGGAGCGCUGACCUACUCGAGGCUUCUGUACCGGCAUGACUUCGAGCUGUCCCAUCUUAAUAGCCUGGUGAUGAUUACGCGUGCCCCUGCAUUCUGCUCUGUGCACCGUCUUGUGCUGGCUCAACGGUCGCAUGCUCGUACGGUAGAGCGGCAGAUCCGGCGGGGUAGUUAUGGUGUUAUCAGUCGACGCUCCACACGUCCCUAGGAAGGAACCUUGUUCGGUCGAGGGUCGGACGCCGUGUACCGUGACAAUAUCCGGAGCACUGACCUUGAAUGUCUCGAGGGGGUCCCGAUUAGACGUCCCAUCCUUGUUUCCCGCGCCCUAACAUGCCCUGGGCCGUUCGGCGGGAAGGCUGCAAAAAGAUCGUUGGGACGGAUGCCUGUUCCCUAUCACGCCUCCCAUGACCUGUGUGUUAGGUGGGGAAGCAUCAGGCGCAUUUAAUGCCCCGGUUCGCGUGCGCGCGUCAGGCGGCGGGGGGCGUCUUUGCGCUCGACGCCUCCUGGUUCGCGUGAGCCUGUUCCGUAUUCGACGGUAACCAGCGCUCGACGCCUGAUCGAUUCGCUCGACGCUAUUUCCGUCUUCGAGGUUGCGGCAGUCGAUGGCAGCGCACACGUAAGACUAGAGCGUCGAAUUGAGGGCCGCGACCUGCGUACGGGCAAUCUCGUAAUGCACAUCGGUGAGGGUACCCCUUACUGAUACCCUCGACAGUAGCCCCCGAGUCUCCAUUUGAGCGCUAGCGCUCGAGUGGAGGCUUUUGUUUUGCGGUCGAAUUUCCGUGGGGGCGCGCGAGCGACCCUGCGGGGGUAGCCCCCGAGCCUUCGGGGGAGUUUUUGACUCCUUCGAGGGUUAUAUUGUUUAAUUCGCAGAAGCGCUUUCGACACCGGUGGUGGAAGGUUCUGACUGGCUCGUUUUGCCCGGGGGUUUCGACGUACUCUCGAUAGAGCGAGCGUCUUCCACCCCAGAUUGAGUUCCUAGCGGGUAGUCCAAGUUAGAACCUGUGCCCCUUUCGAGGGGGUCAGCUGUAGCCCGGAGGCGUUCUCAUAAAGCGGGAUCGACGUGGUCGGGGAUACCAGUCUCAUUCGAUAGAGUCCGGCGGCUCGAUGCCUCCCGUCGGGGGGAUUCCUCUCGACUGUCUCGACCCUACCUUGGAUAUCGCCAGCGAGUCCUUGAGGCGGGCCUCGAUAUUCGACCGCUCGGUGGAGAUCCCUGACUCUGGCGCUCGAGAUCGACUGCCGAACCCUUUCGGCGGGCCAGCCAUCGACCUCUCGAGACUCUCGCGGGUACGCCCCUUGGCUUACAAGGGAAGGAAGUAGCCGUGACGGUUCGCCUUUCUGCCCGUUGGGCGCGCCUUUUCGGGUGGAUGACGUUACGACACUGCGUCGGCGUGGAAUUCGGAACGCCACGCCUGUAAAGGGGGGAGACUGUUAGGUGGCGCAUUUAUGGGGGGACGUUACCUCAUUUCUCGGAUCUGUCCGUUGGCAGAUCGUGGCUUAUAAAUACGCCGCGGCACCGCCGCCGUUGUUUCUUCCGCCUCCCAUCUUCACUCUUGCCUUAGCCUCUUUGCCGUCUUAGCUCUCUCGCCGUCUCACGCGCACACGCCUCCUCGAGCAGUAGCGGAUCCACCGUCCCUCCAGCCGAGAUGCCUGUAAGACUCGUCACCGCCGCCGACUGGCGCCCGUCGUUGAUGAUGGAGCGCCGGUUGUUAGAGCUUGAGAAAGAGGGACUGCUGUGCCGCCGUACCACGCUAUCGUCGCCAGAGUGGAUCGCGCCGCCGGCGAGUCACAGGGAGCCCCAGCCGCCCGAGGGCUACGUGGUGUCGUUCGCCAAGUUCCACCGCCACGGCCUGGGCGCGCCCUCGAGCCGCUUCACGCGGGCCCUCUGCUUCCACUAUGGGGUGGAGCUCCAGCACUUCUCCCCGAACGCCAUCACCGUCGCGGCGAUCUUCACCGCGGUACGUGAGGGCUAUCUGGGGAUGAUGCCCCACUGGGAUCUGUGGCUCCACCUCUACAGGGGCGAGCUUUUCAAUGCCCCCACCGGAACCACCGGCGUGAGGAAGCAUGUGCGGGCCGGGUGCCUCAACCUGGUAUUGAAGAUGAAGAAGACAGAAAGGCUGCGCGAGUACAUCCCGGUGGGUCUGUCAUCGAACCACGCUGGGUGGGACUCCCAGUGGUUCUACCAGUGGAACGACGACGGUCUCUUCCCCGCCUACACGGGCCGUCUGAUCACGGAGCGCCCGGACAACUGGACGUACGACGUCGUCCAGGAGCACCAGUCGCGGCUCGACCCCCUCCUCAUGCCAUGAAGAAGCUGUGCCUGGACGGCCUGUCCGCCGCUCUCGUCCUCUCGGCCGUCCAUCGUCGAAGGGUCCUUCCCUUGAUGUCUCGGCCGUUGAGGAUGGACGAGAUAGGGCCGGGCGUCUCGUCCCGGGAUCUCGAGGCUUGCCGGAUGUCCAACGUGGCUCUGGCGGACGACGAGGUCGCCGCCCGGGUCAGGGCGGCCAUUGCCGGCGACUUUAAGCCGGAGCAUGUCAACGGCUUCCCUAUGAGGCCCGACGAAGGCUCGGUCGAUCUGGUAUGUUUUCUUCUUCGCGCGUAGCCUUGACUCUGGGUUCCUUUUCCUCCCUUUUUUCUAAGUUCACUUUUAUUCUGGCAGGGGCGGAUCGACGUCCGGUCCUCGACGCCCCCGGUAAGGGAGGACGAAGUUGAUCGCGACGCGCGGCGCCGGUCCGCCGAGAAGAUGAAGUCCGCCAAGGACUCUAAGAAGAAGGGGGAGAAAAAGAAAAACCUUGACCGCCAAGCCUUAGAGGCGCGUCGGUCCAAAUCCAGGCAGAGGGGAGAGCCUGAGGAGGAGUCCCCCAGUGACGAAGACGACGAUGAUGACGAGGACAGUGACGACUCUGAGGGGAUGGCAUCACGCCUCGACCGAAUCCUCGAGGGUCCGCCUCGAGGCGACGCUGACGCCCCCCGGACAGAGACUCCAAAGGAAGGUCCAAGCGGAUCUCACCGCCCUCGGGCCGACACCCCCCCACGCUCAAGGCUGGUCAGGUCGCACCGCUUCCUCCCCCGGCGCCCAAAGAGGGCGGUCAUGCUAUGCCCCAGGUGACGGGGCCACUUACUCGCGGCCGCGCCGCGGCCUCCGAGAAAGGAGAGGCCGGCCGUAGGAGUGCCAGUCCCGGCACCCGCCAGGCGGGAACUGACGCGCCUAGGCCCGCGCCCGCCCUCGAAGGGCCUGGAGCCCUGACGCGAGGUGGCUCGAGGCCCACCAGUCGGGGCGGCGGGAGGCGAGCUGUUCUCCCUGUGGGGUAAGCCUUUUCGUUGUUGUGGCCUUUGUCUUCCUGCUCCUCCGCAUUUCCUCAUAUGCCGAUCUUUUCUCAGGCUAAAGCGGACCCUCGAGCAGGCCCAGCCGUCCAUGGCAAAGAGGCUCAAAACGGGAGCCGCCUUCAAGGAACCAGGUUCGUAGUUUAUUUCUGGGCCUUGCGAUGUUCUUAUGUCGGUUACUAUAGCGUCUGGCCUUUACCCUUUGCUUUGUAGGCUUCUCCGACUCCCAACCUCCAGCCGGCAUCGAGAGGGCUCCGCCUCGUCCCGUGCCUACCCCGUCGCCGCCGACUUGUGGUGAGGCGCCCCAGACGCAAGCGUCAGAGGGAGCCCCCGAGCCUCCUAAAUUGGGGGUCGAGGGGGAACCCAUCACCAUCAGCGAUACGUCUGAGGGUAACGAAGCGUCUGGGGGUGCCCGCCCUAUGGAGGAGUAAACGUCGACCUCCCACGUCGCGGGACGGACUCCCUGGCCUGCUGGCCUUCGAGCUCUCGAAGAGCAAAGGAAGAUGGAGGAGGAGGAGGAGCGGGAGCGCGAGGCGACACGGCCGUCACUGGAGCAGCAGCAACAACAACAACCCCAGUCGGUGGAGCAGCAACAGCAGCUGCAGCGUCAGCAGGAGGAGCAGCAGCAGCGGCAGGAGCAGCAACAGCAACAGCAGCAGAGGGGCCAAGAGGACGAGCCACUCGAGCCCCCGCCUCAAGGUCUGGCCCAAACGGCGCCACUAGCGCCGCAAGAGCCCGGCGAUCAGGAGGAAAAUUUGCCGGUGUACGGCCCUCCCACCCCAGCGUGGCUUCUCCCGGGGGCGCCUGCCGCGAUCCGGGCAGAGUCGGGGCGAGCGGACGGAGUGGUGGCGCUCGCCUGUAUGAUGCGCACCCCCACCGACCCCGAGUCCGAGAUCAAGAGGAUGAUCUACGGCAUGGACGGGAUCGCCCCAGGGUUCCUCCGGGAGCGUCGAGCGUGGGAGGACCGCUUUCCCUCUGAGGAGGAUGAGAUUGGGUCGUCAGGGAGCAAGGACGGUACCUGGAAGACGGUGGACGACGACGGGCGGUUCCCUUGCCUCAUCGACCUGUUCUUGCGCCACAGGGGUUCCCUCGAGACCGUCGAGAACCUUAUCCGCGGCGUCAAGGCGCGGGCUGAUCGGGAGAUGGAGAACUGGUGUCCCGAUCAGAUUCGUCUCCGAGCUUCCACCGACCCGUUCGAGCCCAAUAUCUUCCUCGGCGACAAGAAGGAGGCCGAGAAGUGGGAGCAUGUCGAGGAGCUCCGCCUUUGGAUGAAGCACGUGGUGGGGCUCCUGUCGGACAUCAUCAACAACGGGCUUGGGCCUGCUUAUUUUGUAAGUGUUUUUCGAUCUUUGGUCUUCGUGGAGCCUUUUGGUUUUGUGCUCUAACUGUUUGUCCACCGGCUCGUAGGAUAUGAAAGAGACCUCCCGCAUCAAGUCGAGCUUUAUCCACGCCACACGAGGCGGCUGGGAGCAGCUCCCCGUCCUCAAGGAUCAACUCCUCGAGUCGCAGGAGAAACUUCUUAAGGCCUAUAAAGAUCUCAUAGCGCUCGAGGAGGAGAAGAAGGCGAGGGAGGCUGCCUUGGCGGAGGCUUGAGAGGCUUCGAAGAAGGCGGAGGAGGAGACGACGCUGCUGCGGGAGCGGGCUCUGACGGUCGAGGAGGCUGCAUCCAGAGCCCGGGAGGAGGCCCUGUCCUACAAGAACGUUAUUGCGGAUCUGGACAAGGAGAAGGCCCUUCUCAAGACCGACCUAGACUCCCUUCGCAAUUCCUUCCAGAAGAUGAAGGUGGCGUAUGUGGAUAGUGAGGUCGCCAGGAGUGCCGCCGAGGACAUAAAUAAGAAGGCCCUCGAAGACCUCGAGGCGGAGCGAGCUCGAUCCCGCAGUCUCUCUGACGACGUUGAGCGUCUGAGGGCAGAAUUGCUGGUGAAGAGUGUGGCCAUUGCUCAGGCUGGCAAGGUGAUCGAAGAUCUCCGCGUUGCCAAUACUGAGCUGGCGCGUUCCAAUAGAGAGAUCGAGAGGGCCAACACCAGAUUGGUCGUUGAGAACACGGCCCUGGAGGAGAGCGUUCGAGGUAUGUUUCCUUUGUCGGGUUAUUUUUUCGAGGUGUGCUUGGUUUUUUCCUAAAGCUUCUUGUAUUGGCGUUUACAGGGCUUAAGGACGAACUCCUAGCCGCCCAAGUCGAGGCCCGUAAUGCUAAGGCCCUGCUCGAGGCGGAGGUCGCUUUGAACCGUCGCGUGCGGACGGCGAUAAGCGACCUCUCGACCUCUUGGGAGGUCGAGCCAAUGGACGAGUCGAGGGAGGGAGCUCGAGGCAACGCACUGGUCGACCAGCUGUGCUACUUAGGCGCGGUGCUGAAAGACCGAGUGCGGGACGCCCUCCACAUCGGGGUGAAGCGGGCAAUGGCAGUUGUCUGCUCGGGCUUCUCCUAUGACAUGGAGGUGGUGUCCCACGGCUUUGUCACCGACAUCUCCAAGACCGACGUGGAGAACGAAGAGAGGCUCCACGCCUUGAUCGACGACGCGGAGGCUCCUGGGGAAAGGCUGGCUAAGCUUUUUGAGCCUGAGGUGCUUCCUCCUGAGACUGGCUCGGGCACAGGCGAGGGUGGUGAGGACCAUACCAUGGACUGAGGCCUGCGAGCGUGCUCAGGGUGCCCAGGGCCCCUUGUAUAAUACUUUGUUAACUCCGUUUUUAAGCGACAUAGUAUCUUUUUGUAAUUGUUGAAUGUUUAUUUGUCUUUCCGCUCGAGGUUCUUUUAUUCCUUCUUAUUCCUACGUUUGUAUUUCUUGUUCGAUCUUUCGUCAAAAACAACCUCGAUCACCUCAAGGGUAAGGAAGUGAGUAGAGUUUCCGUAGCCCGGGGGCGUAGGGGUUCUCAGGCUUGUUGUCCCUCGGCUUUUGAGGGGCUCGAGGUGCCUUGGCUACUCAAAUCGUGCAAGGUUUACUAAGUAAGAAAAGAAAAUUUCUUGGCUUUUUCGACGUUUGGGGUGGGGUCGUCCCCCUGGUAGCCCCCGAGGGGGGUGUUGACUAUGAUGGGUCAUAGUCGGCGCCCCCUUCUAUCGUCGAGAUCAUGACUUGUAAAGCCUUAGUACAAAAAGAAGUUGGAUGCUCGAGGGAAGGACUUCAUCUAUUCAUACAUUCGUUUACAGGGUCUUGGUACAAAAUAUACGUAAGAACAUAAGUUUUGAACUUCUAGGGGUAGAAUCGACGUAGCUGUUCGAUAUUCCAUGCGUUGGUGAAGACCGCCCCCUUCUCGUCCGCUAACUUGUACGUUCCUGGCUUCAAGACCUCGGCCACCACGUACGGGCCUUCCCAUGGCGGGGUCAGCUUGUGACGUCCUUGGUUGCUUUGCCGUCGUCGUAGGACAAGGUCGCCUACGUUUAAGUCCCUCUUGCAUACGUGUUUGUCGUGGUAGUGUCGAAGCUUCUGCUGGUAUCUGGCAGAGUUGAGGAGGGCCAUGUCUCGAGCCUCCUCAAGCUAAUCGACCGCGUUCUCUUGAGCUUCCUUAUUCGACUGCUCGUUGUAUGCCUUGAGUCGAGGAGAUCCAUACUCGAGGUCCGUUGGGAGCACGGCCUCAGAACCGUAGACCAUGAAGAACGGGGUGUAUUUGGUGGCCCGGCUUGGCGUCGUCCUCAAACUCCAUAAGAUCGAGGAAAGCUCCUCGACCCAUUUCUUGCCGAAUUUCUUCAAGCGAUUGUAGAUUCUUGGUUUGAGCCCCUGCAAGAUCAUGCCGUUCGCACGCUCGACCUGGCCGUUAGUUCGAGGGUGAGCCACCGCGGACCAGUUCACACGGAUGUGAUGCUGAUCGUAGAAGUCCAUGAACUUUUUGCCGGUGAACUGGGUGCCAUUGUCGGUGAUGAUUACGUUAGGGAUUCCGAAUCGGUGUAUGAUGUCGGUGAAGAAAAGGACGGCUUGCUCGGAGCGGAUGUUGGUGAUGGGUCGAGCCUCGAUCCAUUUGGAGAAUUUGUCGAUGGCCACCAGCAAGUGGGUGUACCCUCCUUUCGCUUUUUGCAGGGGCCCCACUAAGUCGAGUCCCCACACCGCAAAUGGCCACGUGAUGGGGAUCAUCUGAAGAGCGUGGGCGGGAAGAUGCGUCUGUUUGGCGUAAAAAUGGCAUCCAUGACAUGAGCGUACGAGCUCGAUGGCAUCCGCUACGGCCGUCGGCCAGAAGAAACCUUGUCGGAAAGCGUUCCCUACGAGGGUCCGUGGAGCAGCAUGGUGGCCACAAGCCCCCGAGUGUAGGUCCUCGAGUAGUUUCCGGCCUUCUUCCACAGUGAUGCAACGCUGCAGGACCCCCGUCGGGCUUCGUCGGUAUAGCUCAUUGCCUUCACCGUAAAUCACGUAUGACUUGGCUCGUCGAGCGAUAUGGCGGGCCUCAGAUGGAUCUUCUGGCAGUUCGCAGUGGAUUAGGCAGUCGAGGAACGGUGUGCGCCAGUCGAACGGUCGACCGGGUCGCUGUUCUGCCUCCAUCACCUCUGCUGCCACCAGCAGCGUGUCGACGGUGUCGGUUGGCUGGGCAGAAGCGGCAUCGACGCCAACCCCCGAGCCCAAGUCGACGGAUGGCUCGUGGAGAUCUCUCGAGAGCGCGUCAGGCGGUACCGUGCCUCGGGUUGACGGGAUUUUGGCGAGUUCGUCAGCUGCUUCGUUGUAGCGUCGGGCGAUGUGGACGAGCUCGAGGCCAUGGAACUUGUCUUCGAGCCGACGGACUUCUUUGCAGUACGCAUCCAUUUUCGGGUCGUGGCAGCUCGAAGUCUUCAUCACCUGGUCGAUGAUGAGUUGGGAGUCACCUCGGACGUCGAGGCGUCAGACUCCUAGCUCGAUGGCAAUCUUGACACCGUUGACGAGGGCCUCAUAUUCUGCGACGUUGUUGGAUGCGGCAAAGUGAAUCCUGAUGACAUACCUCAUAUGGACGCCCAAGGGUGAGAUGAACAACAGGCCAGCCCCGGCCCCCGUUUUCAUGAGUGACCCGUCGAAAUACAUCGUCCACAGUUCCGCCUGGACCUGGGUCGGGGGGAGCUGGGAGUCUGUCCAUUCCGCGAUGAAAUCCACCAGGGCUUGCGAUUUGAUGGCCUUGCGGGGCGCGUACGUGAGAGUCUCACUCAUGAGUUCGAUCGACCAUUUAGCUAUCCUUCUUGUGGCCUCCUUGCUCUGGAUUAUCUCGCCCAAAGGGAAAGACGAGACCACUGUGAUGGGGUGGCCGAGAAAGUAGUGCUGCAGCUUGCGGCGGGUGAGGAUUAUGGCGUAGAUCAGCUUCUGGAUUUGGGGGUAACUUACCUUGGUCUCUGAAAGCACUUCGCUAACGAAAUAGACUGGCCUUUGGACUGGCAGCGCUUGCCCCUCUUCCUACCUCUCGACCACCACCGCUGCACUAACGACCUGGGUCGUCGACGCAACGUAAAGGAGCAGUGGUUCUGCAGGUUGAGGCAGGACCAAGACCGGUGCUGAGGUCAGCGUUUUCUUCAGUCUUUCGAGAGCUCCCUCGGCCUCAGGGGUCCAAGAAAAGCGCUCGACCUUCUUCAGGAGUCAGUACAGCGGUAACGCCUUUUCCCCUAGUCUCGAGAUGAAAUGACUCAGAGCCGCCAAGCAUCCCGUGACUCUUUGGACACCCUUGACGUCCCGGAUCGGCCCCAUUCUCGUGAUGGCCUAGACUUUCUCGGGAUUGGCCUCGAUACCGCGCUGGGAUACAAUGUAACCCAAGAGCAUGCCUCGAGGUACGCCGAAGACGCAUUUCUCGGGAUUGAGCUUGAUCUGGUUGGUGCGUAAGCAGCUAAAAGCGAUCUCGAGGUCUUGGAUCAGGUCCCCUCGCUGCUUUGAUUUGACGACAAUGUCGUCGACGUAGGCCUCGACCGUCGACCCUAUGUGUUCGCCAAAUACGUGGAGCAUGCAACGUUGGUACGUGGCUCCCACGUUUCGAAGCCCAAACGGCAUGGUUACAUAGCAAUACAUCCCAAAAGGCGUGAUGAAAGAGGUCGCGAGCUAGUCGGACUCUUUCAUUUUGAUUUGAUGGUAGCCAGAAUAUGCAUCGAGGAAACAAAGGGUUUCACAUCCCGCAGUAGAAUCGACAAUCUGGUCAAUACGUGGUAAUGGAAAAGGAACUUUCGGACAUGCUUUAUUUAGACUUGUAUAAUCGACACACAUCCUCAUUUUCCCAUUCUUUUUCUUAACUAAUACAGGGUUUGCUAACCAGUAGGGAUGAUGAACCUCCUUGAUGAAUCCGGCCGUCAAAAGCUUGUGGAAGUCCUCGCCAAUGAUCUUGCGCUUCUCCUCGUCGAAUCGGCGCAACCGUUGCUUCACUGGCUUGGAACCGGCUCGAAUCUCCAAGGAGUGCUCGGCGACUUCCCUCGGUAUGCCUGGCAUGUCCGAGGGACUCCAUGCAAACAUGUCGGCGUUCGCACGGAGAAAGUCGACGAGCAUAGCUUCCUAUUUGGGGUCGAGGUCGGCGCUGAUCGUCAGCACCUUGCCAUCGGAGUUGUUGGGGUCGAGCGGGAUCUUCUUGGUUCCUUCCGCUGGCUCGAAGUUGCCCGCGUGGUGCUUGGGCUCUGCAGCCUCAGCGGCCAGGGCCUCGAGCUUUGCGACGAGCUCAGUGGAGUUCUCGACCGCCUCCCCGUGCUCGACGCACUCGACGUCACACUCGUAAGCGUGCUCGAAGGAGGAGCUGACGGUGAUGACGCCUUUGGGUCCAGGCAUCUUGAGCUUCAAGUAGGUGUAGUUGGGAAUGGCCAUGAACUUGGCGUAGCCCGGGCGCCCGAUGAUGGCGUGGUACGUGCCCCGAAACCCGACCACCUCAAUGGUGAGGGUCUCCUUCCUGAAGUUAGCCGCCGUGCCAAAGCAGACCGGUAGGUCGAUUCGACCUACUGGCAGCGCCUUUUUCCCUGGCACGACGCCAUGGAAACCGCCGGCGCUUGGCUGGAGGCGUCCCCUAUCGAUGCCGAGGAGGUCGAGGGUCUCGAGAUAGAUGAUGUUGAGGCUGCUGCCUCCGUCCAUUAGCAGCUUAAAGAGCCGGGUGUUGAUGAUGAUUGGGUCGACGACGAGCGGGUAGACACCUGGGGCGACUACCUUGUCGGGGUGGUCCUCUCGAUCGAAGGUAAUGGGGGUGCUCGACCAGUUGAGGUACUGGGGCACCGCCAUUCUUGCCGCAAAGACCUCACGGCGUUACCUUUUGCGCUGCCUCGUGGUUAACUGCGUAGAAGGCCCACCAUAGAUCAUGUAGCAGUCGUGGACGGCGGGGAAACCGUUGUCGUUCUUGCUGCCCUCUUUGUCACCGCCUUUCUGCUUCUUCGAGUCGUCACGCUCAUCCCUUUUGAACCCCAGACCGUCGAAAUGCCUUUUCAGCAUUCGACAGUCCUUGAGCUUGUGGUUGGCGCCUCCCUUAUGGUAAGGGCAUGGCUCUUCGAGCAUCUUGUCGAAAAUACCUCCGUCUGGGGGGCCUCUAGGCUUCUUCCGCUCCACAGCAGCGACGAGAUCGUCGUCGAAGUUCUCCUGCUUGUACUGUCGCACUUUCUGCUUGUUCUUGUUCUUCUUGAGCCCUCUACUGGGGGUUCCAUCUUCAUCGGCAGGCCGCUUGCCUUUCCCCCCUUCACAGCUGAAGAAGGUGCCGACUGCCUCUUCCCCUGCCGCGUAGUUUGCCACUACGUCCAUCAGCUCAUCGACGGUCUGAGGGCGAUUUCGGCCCAGUUCCCGCACUAAGUCUCGACUGGUGGUACCAGAGACGAAAGCCAGGAUGACGUCAUAGUCGGGGAUGUGCGGCAGCUCAGUGCGCUGCUUCGAGAAGCGUCGAGCAUACUCUCGUAGAGUUUCUUCUGACUUCUGCUUGCACUUGCUGAGGUCCCACAAAUUUCCGGGCCGUAUGUAGGUCCCUUUGAAAUUUCCCUCGAAGACUUUAACCAAAUCGACCCAGUCGUGGAUUUGAUUUGCUGGAAGUUCCUCAAGCCAUCGACGGGCGGUGUCGAAGAGGAAGAGUGGUAGCUGUCUCAUGAUGGCUCGAUCAUCCCCUCGAGCGCCACCUAGCUGGCAGGCCAGCCUAAAAUCAGCCAGCCAUAAUUCUGGUUUGGUCUCUCCAUUGUAUUUCGCGAUGCUGGUCGGGGGUCGGAAUGGACUGGGCAGGGGCGUGCUGCGGAUCGCCCUGCUGAACACCCGUGGGCCUGGUGGCUCGGGGGCCACCCGGUCCUCGUCGCUGUCGUACCUUCCGCCGCGAUGUGCGCUGUAACCUCGCUCUUCCGCGUCUCCGUGGCGGCGGCGUCGAUUCUCUUCGAUGUCAUGCCGCGCAUCGUGUCGACGCUGAUUGUCGACGGGGAGAACGAGAGCGGUCUUUCUGCCUCGAGGAGACACCUCCUUUUCAUUUUGAGGCUGCUCGUCGCGCUUUUUAGUGGCAGCUCCUCAUCGUCGAGAAGCUGAGCUUUCGGCUUGUUGAACUGCCGCCACCUGGAGCAGGGUCUGUACCUCGUCUCGAAUGCGUCGAGCCUGGGAGUUCGACGGCUCUAGCAUGUUGCACAGCAGCAUCGUCGCCGCCACUACAUUUUGGCCUGCUCGAGGGAAGCGGCUGACGGGCUGCUCUGGCUCUGCGUCUCCGACGAUUUGUCGAUGUACCUCUCGAGCACGUCUGCGAACACUUCCGCCUGGCGGGUAUGGCAAGUCUUGCUCAAGGAUUUGCUCAAGCAGGACGAGGCGCUCUCGGUCUUCAUCGAGCUUCAUCUUGAGCUCUCGCAGCUGCGCUAGCUGUGCAGCCUUGUCUUCUUGUGGAGGGGGGUCGACCUGUCCGUCGUUCCCAGGCGUCCUGGGGUCUUCUCGCGCCGUGGGGGCUCGACCGCCUGCAGCAGCAUCCCGCGUCUCGUCAGUAGUUUCUACUGCCCCGUCGACGUGAUAGCAUUCCCUCGUAGGGUCGUAGCUAUCAGUCUCGGAGUCGAAGUCCGACUCGGUGGUGUAGAAGCAUCCACAUCCGUCCUCCAGCAGCCGCUGCCUAAGUGAGGUGAUUGUGUAUCGCCCAGGGCCUUGGCGGCGGAGGCCUCGCUCCUGGGAGAAAUCUGGCAGUUCGGACGUCGGCCGUAAUGUCUCGGAGUCACGUGGGAGGACCAUUGGUCUCUCCACGUUCGUCUGAGCAUUUGGGCAUAUUGCUCUGGCGAGCGACGUCGCGGCGUUGUCCAAUCCGAAUGGCAGUGCCCUUCUUGGAGUGGACAACCCGCGUGGAAGUAGUUUAGUAGCGGUGGGGGAGGGCGCGCGAGACGCGUCCCCUCCCAUCGUCGUGCGAUGUUGAGCCGUCGUGCCUGCGGUUCCGGCGCAUGGUGUUGCCGGCUCGCGGUCCACCUCCUGCCUCGCACGAGUUGCCGGUCGUGAUGAGGCAGAGGGGCGACGGUAGUGCUGUCCGCGCUUCUUCUUGGGCGGGGAGGCGUGGUGGCGAGGGCGUCUUGGGGCCCUCAACCGAGCUGGUGCAACGCGGGCUCCUCCCAGUUCUUUGACUGAGAGCAAGAUCAUGUCGUAGCCGGAGCCCGUAGACAUGAACUCGAGACUCCCAAACCAAAUCACCGUGGAGCGCGGAAUCGGCGAGGCAAGAGCUGCCAUCUGGAAAGGAGUGGGAAACCGAUGAAAAACACGCAGGACCCCUACCUGGCGCGCCAACUGUCGGUGUCUUUCCCACGGGGGGUCACACCAACGAGUAAAUUUGUGUGCGUGCUCCCUUUCCCAGAUGGUGAUGCAAGAAUACACAGAGAUUUAUCCUGGUUCGGGCAAGAGAAGGCCCUACGUCCAGCGGGGGGGAGAGGCUUGUAUUAUCUUGCAACUAAGUGCUUGUACAGGGGUGAAUACAAGCGUGGUAUGAAGUGUGUGAGCCCUACUGCGUAUGUGUGUAGUAUUGCGUGGUGUUCUAUUCCUGAGUCUCUCCUUUUAUAGUUCCAAGGAGUGACUUAGGGUACAUGCGUAGACGUCAGAGUAGGGGUCGGUAGCAGCAUGGUGUGCAGACCUACUCGAGGCUUCCGUACCGGCAUGACUUCGAGCUGUCCCGUCUUAAUAGUCUGGUGAUGAUUACACGUGCCCCUGCAUUCUGCUCUGUGCGCCGUCUUGUGCUGGCUCAACGGUCGCAUGCUCGUACGGUAGAGCGGCAGAUCUGGCGGGGUAGUUAUGGUGUUAUCAGUCGACGCUCCUCACGUCCCUAGGAAGGAACCUUGUUCGGUCGAGGGUCGGACGCCGUGUACCGUGACGAUAUCCGGAGCGCUGACCUUGAAUGUCUCGAGGGGGUCCCGAUUAGACGUCCCAUCCUUGUUUCCCGCGCCCUGACAUGCCCUGGGCCGUUCGGCGGGAAGGCUGCAAAAAGAUCGAUGGGACGAAUGCCUGUUCCAUAUCACGCCUCCCGUGACCUGUGUGUUAGGUGGGGAAGCGUCAGGCGCAUUUAAUGCCCCGGCUUGCGUGCGCGCGUCAGGCGGCGGGCAGCGUCUUUGCGCUCGACGCCUCCUGGUUCGCGUGAUCCUGUUCCGUAUUCGACGAUAACCAGCGCUCGACGCCUGAUCGAUUCGCUCGACGCUAUUUCCGUCUUCGAGGUUGCGGCCGUCGAUGGCAGCGCACACGUAAGACCAGAGCGUCGAAUUGAGGGCCGCGACCUGCGUACGGGCAAUCUCGUAAUGCACAUCGGUGAGGGUACCCCUUACUGAUACCCUCGACAAAGACCAAGGAAGUAACUAAGCUCUCCUAUCAUGGACAUCUCAAACUCAUGAGCCAUCAUUCUUCCAAACUCUUCACAAAAGUCUUGACUGGUUGAUCCAAAAAUGAUAUCAUCAACAUAGAUUUGCAACACAAACAAGUCAUUUCCUAGUUUCUUGGUGAAGAGGGUAGUGUCAACCUUUCCCAUCUUGAACCCUUUAGAGAGAAGAAAGUCUCUCAAGCUCACAUACCAUGCUCUAGGUGCUUGCUUCAAACCAUACAAUGCCUUCUUGAGCUUGUUGUUGACACUUGCUAACACCACUUGAAUACUAGGUUGUCAUCCCCAGCAUGGCACUAGAGUGUACUAUGGUAUUUAUACGCACACAGAUAAUCCGCAAGCGCAUGGAUACCGUUGAAGCUUUCACCCGGUUAAAGGUUUUAUCGUAUCCACAGGGAAACGGGAGAACCAACUAGGCUCUAACUUAACCAAGAUAGAUAGAUAGGUAUAAAUAGGAAAGAUAGUAGAAUUGAAUAAGAACAAUAUUAAAGGUAAGAUAACAAUGGGUAAUAAUAUGGGAAUAGAGUGUAGAGCAAUUCUAGUAUAUGGGCGAUGGUAGCAGAAUAGAGAGGAUAACUAUGGUUUCUCUACUUCAAAGGGGUAUGUCUAUGUCUAGGACGAACCACGUGAUAAGAGUACACCACAAAGGAUGCUUAUCCAAAGGCCGAUAAACCCUACCCGUCCUGCUAACGAGAGGUGGACUACAGGGGACCAACGUAACUGUCACCUACGCGGCCUACCACACGAUCCACCUAGUCAGGGGAUAUCCACAAGUAAUCUAGGUCUAAGCACCACGCUUACACCUAUACUACAACUCUAACCUAUAGGGUCCUAUAGAUUAGAAGUACUCAAAAGAGUUGUGAACCAGAACAUACAUGAUUAGUAAUUGCAUAAUGAAUUAGAAGUAGAUUACCAGAGUCAUCCCAUGAGCAAGCUUGAUUAGAGCUUGAUCAUGGCGAAGUACAACCGGAGGAAGAACCGACAGGCCGGCCUCUCCUCUAAUCCUCCUUCGCUCUCCAUCUCGCUACUAUCUAGAUCUACUCUAGUUUAGAGAAGAGAGGAGAGUUCUCAUCUCUAAACCCUAGCUUUUGCUCUGUCUAUGAAUAAUGAAUAAUGAUCAAGGGGUGCCUCCUCCAGGGGCCAGGGGGUUUGGUUUUAUAGUCCCCUCAAGUGAACCUGGGCCGUCGGAUCAAACCGACAUUGAUUGAACAGUUAUUCUUGAUCCUUUAGGUCGGUGGAGAUCUCCCGAGAGAAAGAGUCCUGAUUGGGCUCCAGAGGUGGGCGGGCACCCAGUAGGACAGGGCGGGCGCCCUGCCUCUGGCCCCGUCUCGUGGCUUCUGGAGUCUUCUAGAUGUAAGAUAAUUGCGCAGCACGUUAAUAUCUUUACGUAAUCCCGACGUGUGGGGCUUUCUUCCUUAUUUCCUGAUAACCCCCUGCAGAAAUAGACAAACACCAAAACUCGUGGAAUUCUGUCAGAUAAAACCCUAAGUCUCGAUGUUGAUUUCAUUUGGAUCCUUUUCUUUGUUUAUUUGAUAGUUAAAUUUGAUACUUAAGGACCGUCAACAAACUCCCCCAAGCUUACCUCUUGCUCGUCCCUGAGCAAGGAUAAACUCAGCUAUGGAUCAUGAGUUGUUGCAAUAUCUUUAAAAAUUGAUGGUACACAUGCUUUUAAAUGAGGUCCCAUCUCUGAGUUAGAGUAAACUGUCAAGACUUAAAACUUACUUACUUUACCUUUCACCAUGGGACUUGUAACCGUCACUUCUGUCUUGAGUGGUUAAAAGAUAGAACAGUCCAGUCAAGUGCCAUGUCGCUUAUUCUUGAUCAGCUAUAGCUCUGGAGUUUUUGCAGAUUUUCAAAUAAAACUCAGAGAUUCCUUUGUAUGACUCUCUCAUAUCUCUCUUUUGUGGUAUUUCUGGAUCCUUACCAAGGCAGUGAUGGUAUAUGCCUUCUCUCAAAAUAUGUGGUAUUUGUGGUAUAAGGCAUAGUGACAUUGCCUUCUCUCUCACCCUACUCUAAUAAGGCUUUAAUAUCUGGAGCUCAUAGGUGGGAGAUAAAAUAUACAUACUUACAAGACAUUUAUUGUGUAGUCAAACUAUGGAUCCAAAGAAACAAAUCAAUAAGCCAAAUCAAGAUGUGCAUGUGUGGCGAAUGAAUGGUGUAUGGUGAUGAUGGUGAUAACAAUGGUGAAAGUCUAAUUCUACUUUUGCUCUUUUGAGGGGAUACAUACCUUCCUUGCUUUUUGAAACUUUAUGAGGAGAAUGAGAUGCUCUUCUUUUUUUUCUUUUCUCUCAGAUGGAUAUCUUAUACCCCUAAUUCUACUGUCGGACACUUGUCCAUUUUUACCUCUUGUCUCACUCUUUUUCUUUUCUUUCGAGGUUCCGGGCACUUGCCCCUUUUUAUUUCCUCAUUUAUUUAUUUAAUUUUUUUUCUUCUUUUUUUUUCUUCUCUUUUUUUAGAGCACUCAUCUCUUGAGAUAAUAUAGCAAGUGGUAGUAGCAAGAUAACUUGAGCAUUUAUUUCACAAGGGAAAAACACAUAUGUUUUUGGCUAUUCUCUCCCGAAUUAGGAGUAGAAUAUUUUUAGGUGAUUCUAGAGAUGGAAAUGGAUGGAUAUAUGUGGAUGGUACUUCCGGAGUAGAAGUAGCAUAUAUAUGAGUGAACGUGCAUGUGAAUCUUGAUUUAACCACAUGACAAGCUCCUAAGGGUCUACACAGCUUGACCACACUCAAUGCUUAUAAGCAGUAAAUAGUAAAUGUGUGGCUCAAAGUCUAGCAAGCAUGUAUAUAUGGCUGUGGUAGGAAUUUAAACUCUCAUCAUACAGGAACUCAUCAUGCAAUAUUUUAAAGAUUUUUCAAAGAUAAAAUUCUCCAGAAUUCUAGCAUCUCUAGGAACAGAUAAACAACAGCUCAACCUUCCCAUAUCAUAUUCGUUAACAACUUAGAUUUCAGAUCAAGUUUUCAUCCCACAAGUUUAGAUCUAGAGCAAGCUUUAAAUUAUAACAGUUAUGUCUAAACUUGAGAGAGAACUUCAAAUUUGCAAAUUAGGCAGAGCAACUAUUAUCAUAUCCAUGCUAGAGUUUUAUUAUUAAGAUUCAGAUUAGCAUAGCCACUUUAUUUGUUUAUUAAACACACUAAGCAAAAGAUAUAUAUAUAAGCACAAAAUCUUUAUUUGGUUUUUCAUAGUUUAUGUAUUUUAAUAUUCUAAUAUAAUAUAAGUAUAAAGAUAGGUAGAAAUACUUAGCGAGAUAAAUGGGGGUGCUCUCCCCCAAGCUGAAUUUUGACGUAAUUUCUCUUGAUGUAGCUAGCAGGUAGCAGAGGUGUAUUUAAAAGUCAGCAGCAUUCUAACAGCGAUUAGAAUGUCCUCCGUCUGCUAGUCUUCUUGAUUCUUAAAUUCUGUGGAGCUCAAAUAGACAACAAAGCUUGUGGAACUAAUUAAGUGUUAGCAUAAAUAUCUAGCCUUCAUCACGUUGAGCUUCCUCAAUAAAUAUUACUCCCUGUUUUUAUAUUUUUAUUUUAUAUAGUAGAAAAGAAAUAUUUAUUUUAUUUUUAUGCCACCACAGUGAAGGUAUUUAUGGGUUUUAUGCCACUCGUAAACUCACAUGGGGCUUAGUAUUUUAUUUUUUUUAACAUUUUUAUUUUCUUUUCAAGAUAGCAUGAUUAACUAAAAAUCUAUUUAAGAAAAGUAAAUAAUUAAAGGGAAAAAGGGAAUGCAGAAAGGAUAAAUAUGGAUAACUACCAAUCUUACCUUUCGGCGAGGGUUCAAUGUUUUAAGUCUUCUUGUCAAGACUUCUCAUCGUGUUCAUUCUUCAGGUGUGUCAUUUGAUUCAGGUGCGGACCUUGACGUCUGCACCUUUUAAUACGGUGUCACCUAUGUUCAUCGUUUGCCCAGCAGUUCGAAGUGCGGUGUUAGCAGUAUCUUGCUCAGUGUGUUUGUGCUCGUAGUGUACCUGCUCAUAGAGACAAGGCAGAGAUCAAGUGCAAGGGCCCUGUUGGUGGAAAACGACAACAGAACCAAAAGUGUAUUUGUUCUUCUCUAACCUUAAGCAUAGUGAGCAAGACAAAGUUGAUGGAUGAUAAGUUCAUGAGUGUAGAGCUUAGAACAUUUGUCAGACCGCUCAACCUUAUGGAAAGAUAAUCUAUCUAUGUAUAUGUCUUUUUCUUUAUAUCUCUCAAAGAUUGAAUGUGUAACAUUUUAGCUCAUCAUGGAGGUAGUACUAGGAACAAAGAUUAAAGGACUACACAUGCUGAAUCAGUUGGGUUGGUUAAUUUGGAGUUAUAAAUCAUACAUAUUUGUCUCUUUAUUUAUAUGAACGCCAGAACCAAGGAGAAGCUUAUAAAAGUGAUAGUCAAGUACCUUAAGAUGUUACCUUGCUCGAAGAGUGAUGGUACAGUAUCAUCUUGUGGAAGCUUUCCUUUCUUAGCGGUUGUGCGUCGUGUUUGUGGCACCCUCCAUGGAUCAUCUCUCUAUGAUGAAUGAGCUAUGUCCUUCUUGUGCAAAUUGUUAAACUUCAUGUGUCACUCUCUUCGUCUCUGAUGUGAGUUUAUCUCAGGACUUCCCAAAUCGAUAUUGAAAGUUUUUCUGCAGGGGUUAGUCCGACAAAAUAUACCAAUAUCUACUCAAGCAGUUUUUUUUAGUUCAAUAACCAAACUAGACUCCAUGUCUAAUCAGAUUAAGGAAGGCUUAUUCAACCUAAGCACCAUGCUUAAUUUAAAUGCCAAUGGAAGUAUGGCGAGUACUUCCAAACCAACACUUGCUAGUAAAUAGACAAAGGUAGCAUGACAGCAUUUAUAGAGAUUUACUCAAGUGGAGAUGAAGUAGUGUGAUUAGUAUUUAACAAAUUGAGCAUGUCUCAAAGGUAGGGACAACCAGCAUAGCAACAUGGCAA